rnacentral:lncRNA from 1 species
UGUGGUGGAGUAAAUGAUAGUAAUGAUAAAAAUGUAUAAGUGAUGAUAAAACUUACUUCUCAUUGCUCCUCAUAUUGCUAUCUCUCUUCUUCUUUGAUCUUUGCUUUGGGAGAACAUGGGCUAUCUUUUUCUCUUUUUUUUUCAGGUGGGUAGUAGAUACCCCUAAUUCUACUGUCGGACACUUGUCCAUUUUUUCUGCUCAAGUGGGCAUCUUUGUACCCCUAAUUCUACUCUGGACACUUGUCCAUUUUUACCUCUCGUCUCACUCUUUUUCUUUCUUUGUCGAGGUUCCCGGGCACUUGCCCCUUUUUAUUUCCUUGCAUAUUUUUGCAUAACCCAUGCCUCUUCUGCAUUGAAUCUUUUUAGAGAGAGAGAAUAACAACACUUGGGACAGUGAGUGAUAAUAUUUUUAGCAAUUUUAAUGAAUGGUGGUGAAUGGUGUAGUAGAUGUGUGCAAGUGAAUAUCUUAAUUUAACCACAUGAAAAGCUCCUAAGGGUCUACACAGCUCGAUCAAACUCAAUGUGAAAAUAGUAAAAGAUGUUAUAGCAAGUAUGGCUGUGGUAGGAAGUUUUGUUAUGCUAGGAACUCAUCAUGUGAUUUGUAAGUUCUCAAAAUAAAUCUCCAGAACUUAGUGUAGUAGGAACAAGAUAAAUAGUAGCUCAAACUAUAUAUCAUGCCUUUCUCUUACCUAGACUUUAGUUUUAUGUUUCCCAUAGAUAGCAAUUUUAGUUUUAGUAAUUCCUGUAAGAACUCUAAUAUAAAGGCUAGGUACUUGAAAGUAAGCAAACAAAGUAACUGUUCAUCAUUUCCAUCAAGCAUCUUUUUGGUCUUUUUAUUUUUCUAGAGAUUAACACUUAGUAGAUAAAUAAGCACACUUGUGUACACAUUCUUUUUAUUUUGUUUUCAUGUUUAUAGAAUGCAGUAGUUCAAAGCAUGAAAAUAUUUAUUGGGUUUUCUAAGUUUUUUCUUAUAUAUAAUUAAGACACUAAAAAUAUAAAUAAGAAGAGUAAAUAAAAACUUACUUGAUAAAAUGGGGAGGAACUCCCCCAAGCUGGAUGUUGUUGUCGGUCUUACCCAAUGUUCCAGAAUUGCAUCAUGGUGGUGAUGUUGUCAUUCAUUGUCGUGGUGUCUUGUCUUAGUUCUUGUACUGCAGUGGCGUGAUCCUGGUUCCAUUUUUGUUACUGUUCCAGGAGUCGUCCAUGUUCUGCUUGCGUAUUCUGGAUGUCGAAGAGGGUAUUGUCGGUACGGGUGAAGAAGGCACCGGCCUCUUGGUAGUAGUCGUUCGUGAAAGCAUAAGAGGCGUCGGAGUAUCGUCCUGCAUCGAAUUGGGGCAGAGGUCUGGAUCCUAAAGCUCCAUAUGGAUCAGUGGAGUACCUGCCCGUAUCGAAAGGAGGGUUUGUCCACUGGUGAUCUUGGCUCUCCGGCCAUGUCUCCUGUGUUGGCUCUUGUGGUUGAGCAUGUCGAACCCAUGGGUCUCGAAGGACUCGAGGGUUAUAGUCACAAUAAUGCAAGUGCGCUGCUUCUUCCGGCCCGAGAUCAGCUCCAUACCAGGUGCGUUCUUGAUGGGUGGUCAUCCUUUCAGAUGCCACUCGCUGUGGAGCUCUCUGGUUUACCGGUGUCACUGCAAUCUCAAUCAAAUAAUUUUGAACAACAUAGAGGCCAAGCUUCGGGUUAGGUAACCGAAUCUUGCCUUUAUUAUCGUAUAACAUAUACAUUAUGUUCCCCUCUUUUUUCAACAUCCGAGCUUGCCUAAAAGUGUCAUAUCCAUGAUAUAUUCGUAACUCGUCUAUGAAUUCCAAAUAUGAGUUUUCUAACAAAUGAAGACUAGAGGCUAGACGAGUGAUAAGUGAAGUACACCCUACUGGUCCCUGAAGACUAGGUGUACUAAGCCAAUGAGAAACCAAAAGUGUAAUAGGUGAAGUGGGUACUUUAUUUAUAGUAGCAUAUAGAAGUUGUAAAUCUCCUACUCUUACUUUCCUAAUAUCAUCACGAUAGAAAAGAUUGUAUCCGAGCCAUUUGUGGAACAUACUAAGAGUGGGGUGUUCCAUGUCACUGGUUCGGGCUUGACUAUAAAACUCAUCUCUAGAUAUCUCUUUCCAGAACUGGUGUCUCUCAAAAUUGGGUAAAUCUGAAUCAAUGUUCAAGAUGCAUCUUGAAGAGAAAUCAAGAUGGUCGCUCAGUUCUCUCCAAGACAACAUAAUGUCCUAUUUAAACAUCCGAAAAGCAAUUCCCCCUCAUAGUAUUGUAAAGUGCAAAGAAAUUCAAGGGUGAGAAGACGGGAACCCAGCUCAGUUAUGUUCCAAAAAUUUGUCCAUCCCACCAUCUGGAAAAUCAAAUCGAAUUUAGUAUCCAUACCUGUUUCUUGUAGCAAGAUAGGAUCAAGAGUGGGGCUGUGAAUGAAAUCUUUGUUCUUUAGCUGCUGAUAAACUUCCUUUUCCCUGUGGGUCUUCAGUCCAAGGUCUCCUAUCUUGAGAAGGACCUUGACUUGUUGGUCAGAUGAAGAUGAUGGAGCUUGCAUGGGUGUUGGGUCAAUGCUCAUCUCUGAUGGGUGUGAGGAGUGUCGGAAUGAACUCCUUGUACCUAUGUUCUUGAGGACCUUCCCAGCGUUCUUCACCUUCUUAAACAUCCUGUAGACAAAAGUUGACACACACACAACUAGUGGAAAAUGUGAGAGAAAAUGUUAGUGGUCAGCUGUCCGAAAUGUCAGUAGUCCAGGGGUUAGUCGUUUGAGAUAAGUUUUUAUUUUGGCAGCACCUCCCCCUAAACAGCUUUUACUUCUGCUCUGGACAGCGGGAUGACUACUUUCUAGGUGAACCUCACUCUCUCACUCAGAGACUACCAACCUCUCUUCCACUCUUCUCUUCCUCUCUACUCUCUUCUUACUUCACUACAAGAGCUCCUUUUCUGGAAACUAAAACUUGCGUGGUUUUCUGGAAUGCUUGUGUGAAGAAGUUGGAGGCAGGAAGUGGCAAUUUAUAGGAGGAAAGGUGGGCAGGGCGGGCGCCCUCUGUAGGUGGGCGGCCACCCACCUUUGGUGGCCAUCCUGGCUGCCUUUUCUCCACUCCCUCCUUUGCUUGGCUCUUAUGCAGAAUAAUAGUUCAUGGAUGGUGGUUGAUCGGUGGAAAAGUGCUGGUGAGUGGAGUUAUGUUGGUGGAUCAAAUAAUGUGAUGGGAUGUGUGUUUGGUAUAUGACAUGUGGGACCCAAGGAGUGUGGGUCAUGCUUCUAGAAGGUUGCUAUAAUUAAAUAUAAUGCAGCAAAAUCUAUGAGAAUUGAAAUUUAUUGAAAUCAAUCAAAAAAAUAUUUUUGUGCCUCCACAAUAAUUAAUAAAGAUGGGCUGUUACACAUCACAAAUAUUACUUAUAUGGGGCUUUUUGAUUAUUAUAAUAAUGCUAUGAAUAAAUAUGGAUAAUGCAAGAAUUAAAUAUGUAGAAAUUUAAUGAUGCAGAUAAAUACCGAUUUACCUCCCGAUGAGGGUUUGGGAUUUUUAGGUCCCCCAAGCUGGACCUCCAAAUCCUUUUAAUCUUCUGAAUUACCUUUCUCCGGAGAUGGUGUCUCCAGUGGUUCUUCUUCAUGAACUUCCUUCACUGUAGAGUCUCUCUCUGGUCUGGGCUUGAAUGUGAAGUGUUCUUCUUUUCCGUUUAUGUUGAACUUGAUUUCUCCCUUCCUGGCAUCAAUGUGGGCAUUGGCAGUGCUCAGAAAUGGCCUUCCAAGGAUGAUGGACACUUUUGAGUCAGGACUCAUGUCCAGUACCACGAAGUCUACUGGCACAAGGAAAUCUCUUAUCUUGACUGGAAUGUUUUCGGCAAUGCCCAACGGAUGUCGAACUGAUUGAUCUGCUAGUUGUAGGCACAUUGAUGUUGGUUCUAGGGUCGUAUGCUCAAGCUUCUCGUAGACUGAUGCUGGCAUCACACUGACACUUGCUCCGAGAUCGCAAAGUGCAUUAUUGAAAUGUUGGUUUCCGAUCGAGCAAUCAAUAGUGGGACAUCCUGGAUCGUUCUUCUUCCUUGGUGGUUUGUUGAGGAUGGCCGCACUACAUUCUUCUCAUUUCUCCAGUUCUUGGUGGUUGUAGCAGAUCUUCUGCUUCAACUGGGCUUUCUUCUUCUAUCACUACUGGUUGCACUGGUGCUGAUGUUCUCUUUUUCUCUUUUGGGUAUGGGGGAUCCCUGGUUGCUUUGCCUCCUCUAGUAGUUAUGUUCUUUACCUGCUCAAUGUUAGUGGCAACAGGCAAUGCAGCAGCUAGCUUUAUUAAUUUAAGCUCUACCCUUUUAUUAAGAGUGUUUUGCUCAUCAAAGGCAGUUAAUAGAAAAUCCAUUUUAUUGUGUAUAUCUUUUAGAGAUGAUUCAUUUGUGUCUAGCCUUUGUUUAAUUUCAUUAUUAGUUUUUGUUUGUUGAGCAAUUUCUCUUUUAAUGAAAGUUGCUUGAAAGUAUUACUUGAAUUCAUACCUUUGCUAUUGGGUUGACUUGAGGUAGGUUGAUAUUUGUAUGUUGUCUCAAUAGCCCUCUGAUCUUCUUUGAACUUGGCCCUCUGGUCAAUCCAAUGGUGCAAAUUUUCCAUCUUGGUUGAUAAUGCAUUUAUUUCUUCUGGUAUUUCUUCAGUUUGAUGACAUUGUUGAGCUUUAUCUUGGAACCAGCUUUGGUUUUCUGCUAUCUUAUCCAAAAGUAUUGUUGGUGCAAAAGCAGAUCUGCAAACACAAAGGGCUAAUACCCGAUUCAAACGUUAAGGCGUGCCAGCCGAUUUGACCUUACUAUCGGCAAAGGUGAUAACUCGAAUACUUUGGUCCCGACAACAGCGAUGCGCCCGGAUGUCACGGCCAAGAGGUAUUCACGCAGAACUCGAGAACACGCCGAGCUUAAGUCGACGAAUUCCUAAGAACUCGUAGUAAAAAAAGAAAAUAUGACGAAGUCGUCGAAAAAGUAGAUGCUAGAAUAUGAGUAAAAACUUGUGUUUGAUUGAUUGAUAGAUAUCUCAUUACAAGGCCCUAGGGUUUAUAUUUAUACCCUGCUCAAAGAGCUACAAUCAGACACGACUAGGACUCGAAUUCCAAAUUAAACAGAAUCCGUAUACAAAACGAAUUUAAAUAACUAAGGAAAAUAUAAAACCACCCCCUUGUAACCGACCAGGACACCACCACGGAUCGAUCGGCAAUCUCCACGCUUUCCUUCAGAGUCAUCGGCAACCUUUCUGUUAUGGCCUUCGGCAAACACUGAUAUUGAUCAUCGGUAAGAACACGUCAUCACCCCUGGACUUAGUCAUAUUCAAUCGUCUCUUCAUCGGCAACUAUCCUCAUCGGCAACUCUUCUGCAGACCAGUUACCGUUGCUCCACCUGCCGAUCUAUACUCUACAGGUCCCUGGGUACGUGUCCAAAAACGGUGUCAACACAUGCCCCCCAAUUUUGGAGUAUAAAAUCAUUCAUGCUCCAAAAUUCUCUGCAGUAAUGAUGCCUUUCCGCAAUUAAUUCUCCCAAUUUGGUAACCCACCGUUUAAAUCUGAACAACCUUGGUCCGAUUCUCCUACAGAUUCCUCGAAUUCCUCAACCUUCCAAACCGGACUCUCCACUUUAUGCGCCCAUCGGCAAUAUUACCGUUAGAGGGAACUGCCGAUGGACCGACCAAGAAAUCCCGCAAAGUGAAAUAUCUCCAAAAUCAUGACCGCUUCGUGUCAAAUCACCUGCGCAAUCCCUUGAUUACCGUGCGAACAGUUACCAUAUCCACCUGAGUACCCUCGGAUUUCAUGGAUGCGGCGAAGAGAUAAGUCAAAUUUGCCCUUGCCCGUUUUGUCCUAUAAAUACUUCCUUCUCGGGUACUCCUUCUCCAUCGCAUCAUUCUACAGCCCCAACUCUGCUUUCUUGGCGGCGGCACUGUUCGAUAGCUCCAAGAACUCCAGCAAGAACUUCCUCCAACAACCCCCAAGUUUUCGAUCUUCUUCCUCGCGGGGCAAUGGCCGUCAACUUCGUCGUCCCUGAGGUUAGCUUACCCCCAUUCUUUUUUUGUACUCUCGCUGUACUUUUGUCCAUCCGCAAUUCCUUUUACUGAACAUAUCCCUUUUUUUUCUUUUUACUUUUAUCUUUAAAAUCUUUAGGAUUUGGCUGACAAGAUCGUAAUCCCUACCGAUCAACCCCAUCUCCAAUGCCUUGGUCCACUAGGAAACUUAGAUUCCACCGAUCUCAUAAAUGCAGACACAAACAGAAUCCCCUUUAGAGCCGAGAAUUUUUCUCUAGAUCUAUGGAAAGAUGCCUUCCGUUCCUGGCCCAGUCCUACCAAGGGAUGGAAGGAUUGGUUUCUGAGAGUCAGUAACUCAAAUGAGGUCCAAUGGGGUGAACGGAAAUUAGAUCAGUGCAUUAGAUUGUCCCUUGCCGAUAUGGAGAGAAACGAGUCACUGUUAAUUGUUGCCUCAUAUUUCUGGUCAGACACACUCAAUGCUUUUGUGUUUGGCCACGGCCCGGCUUCUCCCACACUUGCCGAUGUACUUAUGCUCACCGGCUUAGAUAUAUCUACUGCCGAUAGCAGCCACUUAUUUGAUACCAAACCCAGUGCUAAGGUAGAAACUUGUGCUAUCAGCGGUUGGUCAGGAUACAUUCAGAAGUACCGAAGAAUAGGCCCUGUCAAUAUAAAGGAAUAGACCACUUUCUUGAAUAUGUGGCUGGAUAAGUUUGUGUUCUGUGGCCGAUCGGCAGGACCAACUUCUGUUUACUUAUCGGCAGCAGAAAGAUUAGCCAAUGGCGGCCGAUUUCCUCUUGGCCGAUAGUUGCUCGGCUCUGUUUACCACCUCCUCCACCAAGUAGCUAGGAAACUUCUGCUUGGCCAACCCAUCGGCAAUUUAGGAGGUCCUUGGUGGUUUUUCAACAUGUGGCUUAGUCUCCACAUGCACAAGCGUCUCGAAUUCGACCUCUUUGUACAACGCUUUCCCAGGGACAUAGCAGAGGAUUAUGAACUAGAUGAAGAAGAAUCGGCAACUCGUUCCCCCUUAAACUAUGGUGAAGCUGUCAUUGUCUUGCCUGGCACUGGAGGCAAUGAAGACCAGGUCAGCUGAUUCUUUCAAACUCUGUAUGAGGGUUUGACCAAAGAGCACCGAGCAUGGAUGCGCUAUGAGGAUCCAGACACCAGAUUUCCUCUGACUUUUCACCCUUUUGAUGAGGCUCUCAAUAAGGACCAUGAUGUGAUGAUGGCGAUUAUAACUCCGAGAGCCAUACCCGUGAACUUUUUUGGCAGUGGGAAAUCCUCCAACCCAACCUAUGAGUUUUACAACCCAUCGGCACUAGCUCGCCAAUUGGCUUUCGGUCAACUGCCGAUUGCACUUUGCUACGCCGAUGUGGUAAAGCCAAGGGAAACCAUCACUAGCCAUCUCAAGUGGAUUAGAGCAGCUCAAUUGCCACCAAACGCCGAUACAGAUGCCGAUCUAUCGGAUUGGAUCCCGACCCUCUUCAUUACUCAGGCGUACAAACAGUGGUGGGAAGAAUGGAAAGAACACCUGUUCCGCAGAUCGGCUCUAACAUACCGUGGCAUGAUCGACCCCAAAUAAAAAGUUCUGGACAAUACUGUAAGUACUUUAAACCGAUGCUUCAAUUCCUUCACUUUCAUUCUCUAUCGGUAACUCACUUUCUUUGUCAUAUACAGGUCGAUGAUACACCCCAAUUAGUCAGUAGGCGUGGUAAGCCGAUUGAGCUCCUUCCAUCGGGCCCGAUCUCUCUGAUCGGCAACAACGCUCCAACCUUAGCUGCUAUAAUGCAUCGGGGUGUGCGUCUCAAGAAGGUUACCACCAAGCGGACGAACACAUCCCCAUCGGUAGCUGCCUCUACCUUAGCACAAGCCUUCAAGGUAAAUUUUCGAAUUCUUUCAUUCAUACCGACUCCAUUUUUAUACUUAUUACACUUGUACUCACAAACUUCUCACUGUUACACCGGUACAUCGACAAAGACCAGAAGUACGACUGCCGAUGCCCCCCAGUCCAGUCAACCGAAGAGAAAAGGUUCCGAGAGUACCAGAUUACAAGCAAAGCGCCAGAGAACAGCAACGCCUUCUCCUCCCCCAGUAUCUCCAAUCCUAGUAGAAUCAUCCCCUUCUCCUCCAGAAGCCCAGAUACAACCAGCACCGUCUCCCCUUCAACCACAAGAAGAAACCCAAACAGAAGAACUCCAGCCAAAAGAACCUCAGCCAGAAGAAACAUCGGCUAGUGUACACGAUCAGACUGCCGACCCAACAAGCUUAAUCAUAGCAUUGGUAGUUUCCUCGAUUCAGACUAGUACUGCACCUCCUCAAGGUAACAUACUUUCAAUUUAUUGCCGAUGAACCCACUUUUUCUAAUUUGUAAUUACCUCUGUUAAUCUUUCAGCUGACAUAGUUUCAUCGGCAAUCCCAGUCGACCAGCCUGUGGUUCCAUCGACUUCAACCAGUCAGAGGCGAGAGAUAGCUCUGAAGUAAGUAAGUUACCCGAUCCUUAUUUUUAUUGUCAUCAGUACUUGAUCAUAAAAUAACUUAUUCUGUCUUCUUUUCCAGGAACAGGAUUCUCCUGACAGCCUGUUCUCCUUCGCCAUCGAGAUCUCUGAGGAUGAAGGCGAGGAAGCAAGUUCUUCUCGAGCAGUUGGAAUCUCAUCGGCAGAGAUUAGAGCAAAGCUGGUAGAUCUGUCAGCCCUUCUCCACCAAGAUACAGCGUAGUCGGUCGAUGACUCUGAUCCAGCCAAAGUUCUGUUCAAGGCUCUCAGAGGUCAAAUCCCUGCCGAUGCCGAGGAGGUUCUUUUUCAGGCUACACACUUAGAGAGUCGUUAGCUGCAGUAUCAAAAGGCUGCCCAGCAUCUUGCUGAUAGAGCUACUCACACUCAGCUCUUAGAGGAAAUGAUGAAAGUGAAACUCCUUGCUGAUGAGAAGCAUAAGAGCAUCGGCAUUCUGAAAUCCUCAGGAGAUGUACUGAAGCAAAAGAUCUCUGAUCUAUCGAUGAGAAGGGAAGCUCUGUUGGCUGAACUCAGACAAGUGGAAAAAGCUCUGUCCCAAGCUCAAUAGGAAGAAAGCCAACUGCCUAAAGCAAUCAAGACUCUUGAACAAGAGCGAAACGUCCACGCCCGUAAAGCACUACAGAUGAAGAAGAAACUGAAGCCAGUGGAAGGCUCUGCCGAUGAUGACGUGAAGGAGAUAGAAGAAGCCAACCAGAUCCGUCUGCGCGCCAUAUCGACGAUCCAGGCUCUGUUAAACAUGUGAACUCUUCAUUGGCAGCGUGCUUUGCUUCUUUCUUCUAAUUAUUUUGGUCCAGCCGAUAGGACUGUUAUCAGCAUCCUUUUAAAACAUUAAUUUCGGCCCCAGAUACACUUUUAAUUCAGCCGAUAGGAAUGUUAUCGGCACUUAAACUUUCAUGCAUCAAGCCAUAUGCUGGGGUAAUAUCUCUUUAAAUAUUUGUUGUUCAAUGCUCUGGGAAAUUCAACUCCUUCGAGAGUUUCUAAGACAUAGGCGUUGCCAGGAGCAGAUCGAUUUAUCCGAUAGGGACCUUCCCAAUUGGGAGACCACUUCCCAAAUUUUGAACUUUUAGUCCCGAUCGGUAAGAUUAGUUUCCAUACUAAGUCUCCAUCGGCAAACUCCUUAGCCUUUACCUUCUUAUCAUACCAUCUGGCAACUCUCUUCUUAUUUUCUUCUAUACUUAUCAAAGCCCUUAGCCGAUGCCCUGCUAAAUCAUCCAACUCGUCUGUCAUCAAAGUAGCAUAAUCAUCGGCAGCCAAUUGAUCUUGAAAAGAUAGUCGCCUAGACCUAGUUUUAAUUUUCCAAGGUAACACUGCAUCAUGUCCAUACACCAACUGAUAAGGUGAAACUUUGGUCGACCCAUGACAAGCCAUCCGAUAUGACAACAAAGCCUCAUUUAACAAUGUAUGCCACCUCCUAGGAUUUUCUUCAAUCUUCCGUUUAAUAAGGUUGAUAAUUCCUUUGUUAGAUGCUUCGGCCUGCCCGUUAGCUUGAGCAUAAUAAGGAGAAGAAUUUAAUACCUUAAUUCCCAUACCGAUUGCAAACUCAUCAAACUCCCUUGAUGUGAACAUAGUACCCUGAUCGGUAGUAAUUGUUUGAGGAAUUCCAAAUCGGUAAAUAAUAUGCUCUUUCACAAAAUCAACCAUAUUGGCCGACGUAACUUUCUUCAAAGGAAUAGCUUCAACCCACUUGGUGAAAUAAUCGGUGGCAACCAAGAUGAAUUUAUGUCCUUUGCUUGAUGGUGGGUAAAUUUGGCCGAUUAGAUCAAUAGCCCAUCCCCGGAACAGCUAAGGUUUAAUAAUGGGAUUCAUGGCCGACGCGGGUGCCCUUUGAAUAUUGCCAAAUUUCUAACAUCCUUGACACCCCUUGAAAUAUUUAAAACAACCUUCAAGUAUGGUUGGCCAAUAAUACCCAUUCCUCCUAAUUAUCCAUUUCAUCUUAAAAGCCGACUGAUGUGCUCCACAUACUCCUUCAUGGAUUUCUCCCAUUAAACUUUUAGCCUCAUCAUCACCUAAGCACUUGAGAAGAAUUCCAUCAAUUGUUCGAUAAUAUAAUUCAUCUUCGAGGAGCACAUACUUGGUGGCUUGAAACCGAACACGUCUCUCAACUUUCUUGGAUGGAUCUUUCAAAUAAUCAACGAUUUCUUUUCUCCAAUCAUCGGCACUGAUUGCCGAUAUUGUGUUUAACAAGGGCUGAUAUCCGGAGGCAUGCUGAGCCAACCGAUUGGCCUCUUCAUUAUGCAAUCGAGGAACAUGCUCUAAUCGAAAAUCCCUGAAUUCCUUUAACAGUUGCAUACUCCUUUCGUAAUACGUUAUUAAGACCUCACUCCGGCAUUCAUAACUUCCAGAUAAUUGAUUUAUAACCAACAUAGAAUCCCCGAAGAUUUCAACAGCGUCAGCACGAACCUCUUUCGACAAUUCCAACCCCUUAAUUAAGGCUUGAUACUUAGUUUGAUUAUUCGUCGACGUGGCAACAAUCGGCAAGGAGAAUUCAUAUUUCCUUCCCUGAGGAGAAAUUAACACUAUGUCGAUUCCUGCCCCCCGGUCACACGUGGAUCCAUCAAAGAAGAGCGUCCAAGGCACAAUUUCCAAAGUUUCCACCGCACCGCAAUGUUGAGUUACAAAAUCGGCCAUAAUCUGUUCUUUAACUGCUUUAGCCAAUUCGUAACGCAGAUCGAAUUCCGACAGUGCCAAAAUCCACUUACCGAUCCUACCACUCAUGAUCGGCAUAGAUAGCAUAUACCGGACCACAUCAUCUUUGCAUAUAACAGUGCAUUCAGCCGAUAACAAAUAGUGCCUCAACUUAAUACAUGAGAAAUAAAGAUACAAACAUAACUUUUCAAUGGCCGAAUACCUGGUUUCAGCAUCAAUCAAUCUUCUGCUUAAAUAGUAAAUUACACGCUCCUUCCCUUCAAAUUCUUGAAUCAAAGUUGAACCGAUAACCAUACCAUCGGUAGAUAAAUAUAAUCUGAAGGGCUUUCCUUGCUGAGGUGGAAUCAGAACUGGAGGAUUCACCAAAUAAUUCUUGAUUUCAUCUAAAGCCAACUGUUGCUCUUUCCCCCAUACAAACUCUUGAUCGGCUCUCAAUUUGAGUAAAGGACUGAAAGCACGAAUUUUACCAGACAAAUUAGAUAUAAACCUCCUGAUAAAAUUUACCUUGCCGAUCAAGGACUGGAGCUCAGUUUUGUUGGUAGGAGCAACUAUUUUGUUGAUAGCAUCAAUUGAUCUCCUACUAAUUUCAAUCCCCCUUUGAUGCACCAUGAAACCAAGGAAUUGUCCUGCUGAUACACCAAAUGCACACUUAUUAGGGUUCAUCUUCAAACCAUGCUUCCGUGUACAUUCCAACACCUUUCGCAAAUCGGCAAGAUGCUCUGUGAAAUCCCCAGACUUAACCACCACAUCAUCAAUAUAAAUUUCCACCAGCUUGCCGAUGAACUCAUGAAAGAUAAAAUUCAUAGCCCUCUGAUAAGUAGCACCAGCAUUUUUCAAGCCAAAGGUCAUGACUAUCCAUUCAAACAACCCAACAUGACCAGGACAUCUAAAUGCAAUCUUUGGAACAUCUUCUUCAGCCAUGAAUAUUUGAUGGUAUCCUGCAUUGCCAUCCAUAAAGCUGAUGAUCCGAUGCCCAGCCGCAGCAUCAACUAGCAAAUCGGCAACCGACAUUGGGUAACCAUCCAUCAGUGUAGCUUUAUUAAGAUUCCUGAAAUCAAUGCAAACCCGAAGCUUCCCAUUUUUCUUGUAGACUGGAACAACAUUGGAAAUCCACUCGGCAUACCGACACUGCCGAAUAAAUUUAGCUUCAAUAAGUUUGGUUAUUUCAGCCUUAAUAUCAGGAAGAAUGUUAGGAUUACAUCGGCGAGCUGGUUGUUGAUAUGGCCGAAAUCCAGACUUGAUGGGUAACCGAUGUUCAACAAUCAAUUGGUCCAAACCAGGCAUCUCAGUAUAACCCCAAGCAAAGCAAUCUUUAUAUUCCUUUAACAAAUCGGUUAACUGCUGCUUACACUCAGAAUUUAACUUAGCACUAAUAAAAGUAGGUCUAGGUUUAUCACCACUACCUAUAUCUAUCCCUACCAAAUCAUCGGCCGAUGUGAACCCCUGGCCUAGCUUUCCAUCAUCGGUGAAUCUAUCCAUUAAAACUCCUCAUCAGAACCGACUGCUUGGAUCGGUGGAAUUUCAUAAUCGGCCCCUUUGAGGAAAUCCUUCUCCCAAAUCUCUCCCGAGAUACACCUAGUCUUCUCAUAGGUAUCUGCCUCUGCCGAUGCGAUGACAUAGGAAGAAUCUCCCGGGACAAUCUCAAUCUUGUCACCUACCCACUGAACCAAGCACUGGUGCAUUGUAGAUGGGAUGCAACAAUUGGCAUGAAUCCAAUCUCUCCUUAACAGUAGAUUAUAGGCACCUUUUCCACUGAUUACAAAGAAGGUCGUCUGCAAAGUUUUGCUGCCGAUGGUCAACUCGACGCAGAUUGCCCCCUUAACCGGAGACAUAUUUCCUUCGAAGUCAUUCAGCAUCAUAUCGGUCUUGGUCAGAUCUUGAUCUCCUUUUCCAAGCUUGCGAUAGACUGCAUACGGCAUGAUGAUGAUAGCAGCUCAACCAUCAAUUAAUAUCUUGGUCAUUGGUUGACCAUCAACUCUUCCUUUGACAAACAGAGCUUUAAGAUGCUGCCUUUUACUGUCGGCAGGCUUUUCAAAGAUAGCUGUCAUCGGAUCCAGAGCCAACUGAGCUAUCUGGUCGGAAAACUCCAACUCCUCAUCAUCACUGGAUGGCGCAAGGAAUUCCAUCGGCAACAUAAAUACCAUGUUAACAUCUGCCGAUGGUCCUUUCCCCUUAGGAUCUGGUUGUUGCUGAUCCCCAGACUGGCCAGAAUUUUUGCCCUUGCUUAGCUCUUCUCGUCUUUCGCGCUGCAGUCUCCUUUUCUGUGUUUUAGUCAACCCCUCUGGACACCAAGGGGGAAGUGGUGACUGCCUUGCCGAUGGGCGACGAUGCUCCCUUGACUCCAUCCGAUGAGUAUUGGCGUCCCUGCAAAAUAUGAACUCAUCGGGAACUCGUGCAUUAGCCGUCUCUUCAAGCUCUUCUUGGUUUCUAGGAAAAUAUUCAACACGAUCACCAAGCCUAUCAUGCACACUGAGUCUGCCCCCCAGUCGAUCAUGAACUAACGCUCUCCCCCUAAUCGGCCCAUUAAAUCGCCGAUGAUGAUCGUGAUAGCGCCGAUCGGAUCUGUCAUGCCGAUGAUAACCAUUGCACUCAGGACAAUCUCUAACAGUGGGCAACUUGAUGUUCUGCUCCCAGCAAUGGAUAAAGAAUGGGCAAUUCUAGUGAUCUCUGUGCUGAUUCCACUCCUGUCGGCGUCUUUCUUCUUCCCGAUGAUAGUCUUCUUGCUGGCGUCGAUACCGAUCCUCACGUUGCUGCCAAGUCUCCCGAGACCUUCUAUGAGUUAUCACAAUACCAGAUCGGGGAGACCUUCCUGAUUUAGUUCCCUCUAGGAUCAAGCCUUUUCCUUUAGCAUCGGCAGUAGUAAUUUGAUGCUGAGGAUCUACCGAUGCAUUCCUUUCAGCUGCUUCCGACGUCAAGACCUUGGUCUUUCCCUUAGCAUCCAACAUAUUUGUUGGGAAAGGAUGUUGAUCGAUCUUCAUCAGCUUCCGAGUUUUGGAACUAUCAAAUUUGAUUCUCCCAGAUUCAAUAGCCGAUUGCAGCUGUUGUCUAAAAACCUUGCACUCAUUGGUGCUGUGAGAGGUUGCAUUGUGCCACUUGCAGUAUUUCAUCUUCUUCAACUCUUCAGCCGAUGGAAUUACAUGAUUGUGUGACAAUUUGAUCUGACCUUCCUGAAGUAGAAAGUCAAAUAUCCUAUCGGCUUUGGUGAUAUCAAAUGCAAACUUCUCUGGCUCUUUAUGCCCAAAAGGACAAGACAUCGGCUUCUUAUUUUUCACCCACUCUGCCAAGCCGAUGACUGGCUCUUCAUCAGAAUCUGAGCCUGCUGCCUCAUCAACAAAUGACACCUUUUUGUUCCAAGCUCUCUUAGGUUCAAAGGGUUUGAUAUCCUGGUCAGAAAUCCUCUGGACCAAGUGACUCAGGCUCUCGAACUCUUGAGAAGCAUAUUUGUCCCUGAUAUGUGGCAACAAACCUUGAAAAGCCAAAUCGGCUAGCUGCCGAUCGUCCAAAACCAGACUAUAGCAUUUAUUCUUGACUUCCCGCAACCUCUGCACAAAACUUUCAACCAAUUCAUCAUUGCGCUGUUUCAAUCUGACCAAAUCAGUAAUCUUCUUCUCAUGGACCCUAGAAAAGAAGUACUUAUGGAACUGCUUCUCCAGAUCGGCCCAAGUAAUCACUGAAUUAGGAGGCAAUGAUAUAAACUAGGUGAAAGCCGAUCCAAAUAAAGAUGAUGAAAACAGUCGAACCCUCAAUUCAUCCCUGUUAGCAGCUUCCCCACAUUGGAUGAUAAACCUGUUGACAUGCUCCAUAGUCAAUGUAUCAUCCUGUCCAGAAAACUUAGUGAAAUCUGGUACCUUGUACCGAUUUGGAAGUGGAAUUAAAUCUUAUGCAGGGGGAUACGGCGUGCGAUAAGAGUAAGUGUUGACUUUGGGUUUUAUCCCAAAUGGGUCUCUCAUUAAUUCAGCAAUCUUAUCGGCCCAAUACGCAUCGGCAUCUUGCCGAUGGGGUCGUUGUGGAUCUGGCGCCUGCUGAUACACUUCCACGUGUCGCUGAGGCGCACGAUCUGCAUGGAACAUGGGGUUGAUCGUCUGACCACCAAACUGUUGACCAAGAUUCAUCGGCUGGUUGGGCAACCCUUGAUUCUGGAAUCCAGGCUGGACCUGGCCUUGUUGAAACCCUGAAGCCUGAUGAUUCUGCUGAGGCAUUUGUGGAAAGACUAACUGCCCCGUCCAUCCAUUGUUGGCAUUCAUCGGCAUAAAUCCUGCCGAUGACUGGAAAUUGGGCAUCAUCAUUGAGUUGACAUACCCUGGCUGAGUCAUAAACCUCUGUUGCGUCGGCAUUGAAUCUGCCGAUGCGUUAGGCAUCUGGAACAUUGGAGCUUGAGAAUUCCCAGUGUAAGGUCUUGCAGUAGUAGUCGUAGUAUACUAAGGACUCUGAUUCUUCGGCGGAUUGGGAGGUGCCGAUGCCAUAGGAGCCUUGCCUGUCAUAUCAGCCACUUGAGAUGUUCCAGGGGUCUUCAACAUCAUCUCUGGGGGCAUACCAUAACCCCACCAGUUGGGAGGAACAGACCCCGACAUUGCCGAUGCCAAUAGAUCUGUGGCAAGCUUGAUUUGCUCAUCUGAAGUUGAUGGAUUGGUUGUCAUCGGCGUAGAUUGCACAUUAGUGAGUCCUAGUGUGCUUGGAGGAGUAGUAGUUUCUGUACCCGCAGCGGCCGUAGUAGCCGAUGGAGCUGUGACAACUGGUGAUCCUAGCUGAUGAUAGACAGGACCCACAUAAUUUGGUGGCAAUUGUCCCUCUUUGAAAGUUCUAGCCACGGCGUUGAAAACCGUAUUGGACACUACACCAGCUUGAUUGAUCAAGGCACGGUUGAUAGCACUGUCGACCAUGUCUUGGAGUUUACCAGGAUUGGCUUCAAAAGUGACCUGCCGAGGCGCCGGCAGUGCUUCCUUCUGGAUUACUUCGCCGCUCGUGUUGAUACUGAAGGAUUUCAAACAUUGCUGCUUGUAAUCCUCCAUGGCUUUUGCAAUAGCUUGCUUCUGCUCAUCUCUGAGAUUGGCUUCCGUCACGGGGAUGACGUUCUCCAAGUCAAACUCAGUAGUCGACAUGUCGAUCUUGAUCUUGAAUGUAGUCCCACUGGGCGUGCCAAAAGAUGUGUUGGUGCAAAAGCAGAUCUGCAAACACAAAUGGCUAAUACCCGAUUCAAACGUUAAGGCAUGCCAGCCGAUUUGACCUUACUAUCGGCAAAGGUGAUAACUCGAAUACUUUGGUCCCGACAACAGCGAUGCGCCCGGAUGUCACGGCCAAGAGGUAUUCACGAAGAACUCGAGAACACACCGAGCUUAACUCGACGAAUUCCUAAGAACUCGUAGUAAAAAAGGAAAAUAUGACGAAGUCGUCGAAAAAGUAGAUGCUAGAAUAUGAGUAAAAACUUGUGUUUGAUUGAUUGAUAGAUAUCUCAUUACAAGGCCCUAGGGUUUAUAUUUAUACCCUACUCAAAGAGCUACAAUCAGACACGACUAGGACUCGAAUUCAAAAUUAAACAUAAUCUGUAUACAAAACGAAUUUAAAUAACUAAGGAAAACAUAAAACUACCCCCUUGUAACCGACCAGGACACCACCACGGAUCGAUCGGAAAUCUCCACGCUUUCCUUUAGAGUCAUCGGCAACCUUCCUGUUAUGGCCAUCAGCAAACACCGAUAUUGAUCAUCGGUAAGAACACGUCAUCACCCCUGGACUUAGUCAUAUUCAAUCGUCUCUUCAUCGGCAACUAUCCUCAUCGGCAACUCUUCUGCAGACCAGUUACCGUUGCUCCACCUGCCGAUCUAUACUCUACAUGUCCCUGGGUACGUGUCCAAAAAUGGUGUCAACAAGUAUCUAUGCUUUUCCAAUUGUAAGCUCCCAGAAUGAUCCUUUAGCAGAUGCAUCUAGGCACUCACGAGCCUUCUCGGUUAAUCCAUGAUAGAAGGUCUGCAUUAGUAACCAUGUGGCCAUUCCAUGGUGAGGACAAUCUGAUAUGUAUCCUUGAAAACGCUCCCAUGCUUCUUGAAUGGUUUCUGUCGUCUGCUGUUGGAAACUGACAAUAUUUCCUCUUAAGGCAGCUGUCUUGCCCACUGGGAAAAACUUUGAUAGAAAGGCAUCUGACAAGUUCGUCCAGUUGUUGAUGUUAUCUUGAUGAGUGUAGAACGACUUCCUCGCUUUUCCUUCUAGUGAGAAUGGAAAAAGGCUAAGCAGUAUGACGUCUUUGUCAACUCCGUUGAUACGGAUUCUGCUUCCAAUCUCUAAGAAAUUCUGUAAGUGUGCACAAGCAUCUUCAUGUGCCUUUCCACUGAAUUGUGUAGCUUGUACCAAAUUGAUGAGGCUUGACUUGAGCUCGAACUCAGGUGCUCCUUCUUCUACUGCAAAUCUUGGACCAGUUGGAAUGUUCUCAAGGCUUGGAGCAGAGAAUUCUUGCAAUGUCUUUUGUGCCAUAGCUUCAACAAUUGGUGGCUAGCUUCUUCUUCCUUUCUUGAUCGCUUUAGUUCUGAUGAUGAAGAGUUGAAUGUACCAAAGUCAAUCCUGAUAUACCGUGUAUAAAAAUAUAAACAUAGAAAAACAACAGGGUGAACCUGCCAAAGCAGAGGUGCCUUGUUAUGAUUUCUCACUUAGUAGCUGUUUUUAUGCAAUUAUUUCUCUAUGGUCUAGUCUAAUAUUUUAUGUGAAUAACCUUGACUGAUUUCCUGACUUUCCUUAACGUUCCUAUGUGUUUCCUUUUGUGUGUUCCCCUUUUCCCCGGCAACGACGCAGAAAUGCUUGUUGACACUAGCUAACACCACUUAGAUACUAGGUUGUCAUCCCCAGCAUGGUGCCAGAGUGUACAAAGGUAUUUAUAAAUGUAAAGGCUCUCUAGAAAAUAAUCUAUUCUAUCCGCAAGCGCACAGAUAAAACACCUCAUUGUAGCAUUUCACCAGGUAAGUAUUCCAGGUAUCGUUAUUUAUAAUUUUGCUCAGGAGAAAAGGAUUAAAUGGAGAUAAGGAUAAAUCUAUGAAGGCAUAGAUUAGAGAUAAACUUGCAAGAACAUGAUUACUAAUGAGGAACUUGUCACACAGUCACUUACUUUGGCAGGGGGUAAGCCAUAAUAAUAAUGAUAAUGAAAUAUAAGCUCAUGGGUAAAUAACACAGCGAUUAGAAAAUAGACUACUCCUCAUAUAUGUAAGGUGACGUCGGAUUAGCUAGAGAAUGGAUUCUAAGUUAUCUACUAUCUACUAAGUUAUAAUCUACUCUAGUUAUCUACAAGAUCAUAUAUAGCAUAAAAGACUCUUCAUUCCUGUAUAAGGAACAUUGCUAAAGUAAAUCAGAACAUCGUAAGACUUACUCCACAAUACAAAUUCUGCCUGUCCUAUCAAUGGAGGGUGGACUAUAUAAGAAUCAACAAAGCUGUCACUAUCGCGAACUACCACACGACCCGGCCAAUAGGAUACAUUUGCAGGUAACUAACAUCUAAGCACCACGCCCACAUGUGAUCUACCACUUAACUCCCUCGCGUCAAGAGCUAAGCGCUUUGCAAACUUAUACAUAAACUCAUUAUCAAUCAUAACUAUAUCAAAUAUAGAACUAGAGCAAACUAAGAUCAUAAUAAAUAGAGACAUAAUACAAUUAGAACAAAGUAUUAGAGAAAGAUAUGAAAUAAUACCAGUCUUUAUUAGCGAAGAUCCGAAUCCAGAGCACUAGGCUCUACUUCUCUAAUUGCUAUCUAAUCAAUCCUCUAAACAUGAUGGAUUAGGGAGUAGCUAAUUCUAAUUCUUUGCGGGAGAGAUGUCUAAACCCUAACUUUGAUGGCUACCUCUGAUAAUGAUUUCUCCUCUCUCCCCCUGGGGUGGAGAGGCCUUGAUUAUAUAGUCCUUUGAAGUGAAUUUGGGCCGUCGGAUCAAACCGACAUUGAUCGCAUGGUUUUCCUUGAUCCUUUAGGUCGGUGGAGCACGAUCUAGGAGAUUGGUUGUGAUUGGCCCCGAGGCCAGGGCGGGCGCCCUGCCCCGAGCCCGUCCGGUCUCCCGUUCGUUCUAGUGGCUUCUGGACUCUUCUAGAUUGAGGAAAAUUGCGCGGCAUGUAAUUAUCUCGAUGUAAACAUGACAUGUGGGCCUUCUCUCCAUAUUUUCUGAUAACCCACUGCAGAAAUAGAUAAACACCAAAGCUCGUGGAAUUCUGUCAGAUAAAACCCUAAUUCUAGAUGUUGGUUUCAUUUGGAUCCUUUUCUUUGUUUAUUUGAUGGUUAAAUUUAAUACUUAAGAACCGUCAACAACUUGCUCCUAGAAAAGGAAGAAGAUAAGUUACUCAAAGCCAGGUAUUAAUUAUGAAAAGUCUGAAAGAAUCGAGCGACUUACUUGCUUUAGAAGAAUUUCCUGCCUCUAACGUGGAGAUGCAGUCGGUACUAUGGGUUGAUCGGCUGAAGUUGCCGAUGAAAUAACUUCAACUGAGAAAUUAAAAGGAUGAUUAUAAUUCACAAAAAUAAAAUUCAUCGGUGAUAAUUCUAUGAUCAAUACUUUACCUUGAGGAGGUAUGGUGAUUGAUUGUUCUGGAGGGAUGACCGAUGAUGUGCCCAGAUCAACCGGAUCGGCGAUCUGUUUAGAGACAUCGGCUGGUGCUUCUUGUGGCUGAGGUGCUGGUUGAGGGGGAGAAGGUACUUCUUCUGUCUGGGUUUCUAGUGAAGAAGGGAUGAUGCUACCUGGAUCGGUGAUACUGGACGAGGAGGAGAGGAUGGUGCUGUCUUCUGGCGCUUUGGCUGCGUCUUGGUACUUUUUGGACCCUUUCUCUUGGUCGGAGCUUAGCUGGGCUGGGGGGCAUCGACACUUGUUUGAGCGCUUCUGGUCUUAGCCGAUUUGCCAGUUUGCUUUUGCAACAACCGCAAAUUUCAUGAGUAAACGCAUAGAAGAACAUUGAUGAAAUUUUGUUCAAAGAUAAAAUUACCGAUAAAGUUCCUGUUGCGGCCGAUGUGCCCUGAAAGGAUGAUAUGAGUAUGGGAUGAAAUCAGUGCAAGCAGAGGAAAUUAAGGAGUUUUACGUUGAAAGCCUGUGCUAGGGUGGCAGCGGCUACCGAUGGGGAUGCUUUUGUCCUCUUGGUGGUCGUCUUCUUGAAGCGCACAUUGCGGUGCGCCAGAGCCGCUAGACUUGGUGUGUGGUGGACGAUCAAGGAAAUCGGGCCUAAUUGAAGAAGAUCGAUCGGCUUCCCACUCCUGCUGACUGUCGGUGCUGGGUUAUCAACCUGUUUAAAAAUAGAAAAUAAAUAAGUUGCUGAUAGGAUCAAAAAUAAUGGAAGGAUCGAGGUAUCGGUAAAAAACUUACAAUAUUAUCAGGGACUUUGUAGUCAGGGUCGAUCAUGCCACGGUAUGUCUGGGCCGAUGCGCUGAACAGGUGCUCCUUCCACUCCUCCCACCAUUGUUUAUACAGCUGAGUAAUAAAAAGAGCUGGCACCCAUGUCGAUAGAUCGAUGUCUGUCGUAUCGGCAUUUGGCUGAAGCUGAGCUAUCCUUAUCCACUCAAGCCCACUGGUUAAUAUCUCCCUUGGCUUCACCACAUCGGCAUAACAGAGUCUGAUCGGUAGUUGGCCAAAAGCUAGCUGGCGAGCUAGUGCUAAUGGAUUGUGAAACUUAAAAGUGGGGCUAGUGAUGAUGGCCCUACUACCAAAGGUGUUCACUGGGAUGGCCCUCGGAGUGAUGAUUGCCAUCAUCAAGUCAUUAUCCUUAUUGAGGGCAUCGUCGAAAGGGUGGAAGAUGAGCGGGAAUCUAGUGUCUGGAUCUUCAUAGGGCAUCCAGGCUCGCUGUUCUUUGGUAAGGCCAUCAUAUAAGGUUUGGAAGAAUCAGCCAAUUUGGUUUUCAUUGCAGCUGGUACCAGGCAGAACUAUAGCAGCCUCGCCAUAAUUGAGGAGCGGGCGAGUUGCCGAUUCAUCAUCAGCUAGUUCAUGAUUUUCGGCAAUAUCUCUGGGGAAUCUCUAUGCAAAGAGAUCGAGCCGAAGGAUUUUGUACAUAUGAACAUUAAGCCACAUGUUGAUAAACCACCAGGGGCCUCCUAGGUUGCCGAUGGGUUCACCUAAUAGAAGCUUCUCAGUCACAUGGUGGAGGAGGUGAUAGGCAGAACCUAGCAAGUAUUGGCCAAGGGGAAAUCGGCCACCAUCGGCUAACCUUUCUGCUGCCAAUAAGUAGACAAAGGUUGGUCCUACCGAUUGGCCACAGAAGACAAACUUGUCUAGCCACAUGUUUAGGAAAGUGGCGUGUUCAAUUUGCCCAACUGGUCCUGUCCUCUGGUACUUCUGAAUGUAUCCUGACCAACCGCCGAUGUUGCGGGUUUCUACCUUGCGUUCAGCUUUAUGGUCGUACAGAUGGCCAUCAUCGGUAGAUGCAAUAUCUAAGCCAGUGAGCAUGAGCACAUCGGCAAGAGUGGGAGAAGCAGGGCCAUGACCGAACAGGAAUGCAUUAAGAGUAUCUGACCAAAAGUAUGAAGCAGCUAUCAGUAGUGACUCAUUUCUAUCCAUAUCGGCAAUGGAUAGCCUGAUACACUGAUCUAGUUUGCGUUCACCCCAUUGUACUUCAUUCGAGUUGCUGACUCUCAAGAACCAAUCCUUCCAUCCCUUGCUGGAACUUGGCCAGGAUCGGAAGGUAUCUUUCCACAGAUCCAAAGAAAAGUUCUCGACUCUAAAAGGGAUCCUAUUUGUUUCCACGUUAAUCAGAUCGGUAGGAUCUGGAUUGCCCAGCGGACCGAGGCAUUGAAGGUGGGGUUGCUUGGUAGGAAUAACGAUUUUCUCAGUUAAUUCCUAAAGGUUUGAAGAUUGGAAGAACAGAGAAAAGGAAAAGGAAGAAAAUACUAAGUAAAUAGCUGUGUAAAAGCUAGAAAGUACAACAAAAAGAAGAAAGAUGGUACUAGGUUGACCUUAGGGACAAUGAAGUUGAUGGCCAUUUCUUCCCGAGAAGAAGAGGAUUGGAGACUUGAAGAACCGUUAGGGAAGAUCCUAGCGAGAGUUCUUGGGCUCUUCAACAAUGCCACCGCCAGAGAGAUGGGCUUGGAGGAUGCAGGAUGUAAAGGUGGAGAAAGAGUGCCGAGGAAGGAAGUAUUUAUAGGGUAAAGUGUGCAGGGGUAUUUCUGACUUAUCUCUUUGCCGUAUCCGUGAAAUUCGAGGGUAUUCAGGUGGAUAUGGUAACUGUUCGCACGGUAAUCAAGGGAUUGUGCAGGUGAUUUGACAGCGAGCGGUCAUGAUUUUUGGAGAUAUUUUACUGUACAGGAUCUCCUGAUCGGCUCAUCGGUAGUCCACUCUAAUGGAAAAGUUGCCGAUGAGCGGAUAUUUAGGAGGUUUGGUUCGGAAGGUUGAGAAAUUCGAGGUGCAUGCUGAAGAUCCGGGUUAAGGUUGUUCAGAUUUGGUAAUUAACUGCUGUCAGAAAGGGAUAAUUGCGAAAAGGGGAUCAUUAUUAGAGAGAAUUUCGGAGAAUUAAUGAUUUUAUACCCCGAAAUUGGGGGGCAUGUGUUGACACCAUUUUUGGACAUGUAUCUGAGAAGUUAAUGAAACGAGGAUCAGCAGACGGAUGAGUAAUGGCUGGUUGACAGGGGAGUUGUCGAUGGGUUAUGAUGCCGAUGAUAAAGCAACAAAAUGUGACCAAGUCCAGGGAUGAUGAUUGAUUUAUGCCGAUGGACGAUAUUGAUAGUUGCCGAUGCCGAUGAAGGGUGAUUUGUCAAUGAUAGCAAGGGAAGGCAUAGGAAUUGUUGACAAAGAUGAUGACGGUGUGCCGAUCGCCCAGGGUGGAUAGAUUAAUAUUUUCCAUAGUUGUUAGAGCCCAGUUUGUAUACGAAUUACGUUUGAUUUGGAAUUAGAGUCCUAGUCGUGUCUGAUUGUAACUCUUUAGACAGAGUAUAAAUAUGAACCUAGUAGCGAUGUAAGAAAUAUACAAUCAAUCAAACACAAGUUUUUACAUCUAUUCCAACAUCUACUUUUCGACGACUUCGUCAACUUGCAUAUUUUCCUUUUACUUACGAGUUCUUAGGAAUUCAUCGAGUCAAACUCGACGAGUUCUCGAGUUCCGCGUGAAUACCUCUUGGCCGUGGCAUCCGGGCGCAUCGCUAUUGUCGGGACCAAAGUAUUCAAGAUAUCACCUUUGUCAAUUGUAAGGUCAAAUCGGCUGGCACACCUUAAUAUUGAAUUGGGUAUUAGCCCUUUGUGUUUGCAGAUCUACUUUUGCAUCAACAGGUGGGUCCCCUGGCCACCGCCUUCGCGUGGUCAGUUUGGCUCUGGCCUGGAUCUCUCCUAUGGUUACGAUCAGGCCCAGUUCUACAUUGUUCGGGCCUUUCUCUAUUUUCUUGGUUUGCGCAUUUCUGAAUACGUCUUUUGGUACUUUGUGCUUUCUUCGUGGUAUGGCACAUUUUCACUUGUUGCACUAUAAUUCCUGCAAAAUAUAAUCACUAUGGUACACUUGGAACUUGUUAGUAAUAAAAUGCAUGUGUGUAUAUAAUAUGAUUGCUUCUUCUCCUUUUGGAUCAAGUUGGCAGUUUAUAAUUGGUCUAUAAUGACUGCCAACACUUUUGGAGUAUCAGCUGGACAAUUCUUGGGUUUCAUGGUGCAUGAAAAAGGUAUUGAAGUUGGGCAAAAGAGCUUUGAUGCAAUUAGUAAGACAGUACCACCAACUUCAAAAACUGAGUUGCAACCUCUGUCGACAAAUUCAACUUUGUAAGGAGGUUUAUUUCAAACCUAUCAGCUAAGAUUUGUCGUUCUCUGCAUUGUUGAAAUUAAAAAGUGAUCAAGAAUUCAAGUGGGGAAACGAGCAAUAGAAGGCAUUUGAAGAGAUCAAGGAGUAUAUGAAAUCUCCACCAGUCUUAGUACCUCCUUAGAAGGGAAAGCCCUUUAAGUUGUACGUAGCAGCCGGUGACCACACUAUUGGAUCGGCUUUAAUGCAAGAAUUUGAAGAAAAAGAAAGAGUAAUCUUUUAUUUAAGUGGAAGAUUGGAUCCAAAAACUAGAUAUUCUCCCAUCGAGAAGAUAUGUUUGUGUUUGUACUUCUCAUGUACCAAACUUAUACAUUAUUUGCUAUCUUCGAAGUGCACAAUGGUGUCCAAGUUUGAUGUAAUCAAACAUAUGUUGUCCACGCCUAUUUUGAAUGGGAGAAUUGGUAAGUGGAUUCUUGCAUUAUCAGAAUUUGAUUUAAGGUGUGAAUUGGCUAAAACAGUUAAAGGUCAAGCUAUAGCUGAUUUUAUUACUCAUCAUUGAGAAGGGAAAGUAACAUUGUUAGAGUUACCCCUUGGGCUUUGUUCUUUGAUCGAUCUACUUGUAAGCAAGGAGGAGGUGUCGAUAUCGUGUUGAUCUCUCCACAAGGUAUAAGUUUUGAGUAUGCCAUUCCUACAAAACUGACAUCUACUAAUAAUCAAGCAGAGUAUGAAGCCAUUCUGAAAGGUAUUCAACUUUUACAUGAGGUAAAGGUUGAGAGCAUUGAAGUUUUUAGAGAUUCACAAUUGGUGAUCAAUCAGUUGCUCGGCCUGUAUGAGUGCAAGGAUGAUGUCUUAAAGACAUAUUAUGAAGAAUGCUGAGAGCUACUUAAUUCUUUUUCUUCUAUGGUUAUAAAGCAUAUUCCUCGGAAUCAGAAUCAAGAGGCUAAUCGGCUAGCUCAAAGUGCUUCUCGGUAUCGGAAAAUUAUUGAAAUUUUACCCGAUGAGAUUGUUGCUGAUGAAGAUUGGAGGAAAGAUAUCAUUGAAUAUUUGAGGAAUCGAUCAUAGCAAGUAUCCAUGAGAUUGAGAUGCUCUUAAAUUUGUUCUUCUAGAUGAUCAGCUAUAUCAUAGAACAGUUGAUGGUGUACUCCUUAAGUGUCUUAACCAAGAAGAAGCUAAGGUUCUAAUGGGAGAGAUUCAUGAGGGAGUUUGUGGUGCUCAUCAGUCUGCUCAUAAGAUGAAAUGGAUGAUUAGAAGAGUAGGUUAUUUUUGGCCGACCAUGUUGGAAGAUUGUUUCAAAUUUUAUAAAGGAUGUCAAGAGUGUCAAAGAUUUGGCAAUAUUCAAAAAUCUCCAGCAUCGACUAUGAAUCCUAUUGUGAAACCAUGGCCAUUUAGAGGAUGGGGAAUAGAUCUGAUUGGACAAAUAUUUCCAUCAUCAAGUAAGGGACAUAAAUUUGUAUUGGUGGCAACAGAUUACUUUAGUAAAUGGGUGGAAGCUAUUCCUUUGAAGAUAGCAUCACCAGCUAGUGUGAUUGAGUUUAUGUGAGAGCAUAUCAUUUAUAGAUUUGGAGUUGGGCUGCUGCUAGAGCGUUUGCUGCCCCUGAGUGAACGCCAUGAAGAACGGAUUCUUGGACACGGUCAGACAUGUCUUGGAGGUGUUCUACCUAUGUCUCCCCACGCGCAUUCACCAUCCUAGUGACGGCAGAGAUGGCGGGGGAGAGAGUGUUGAACUUUUCCUAUAGCCCUGCGAUCAGCAAAACAAAGAUAUCAGAGGAUUAGUCGAUCAACUAAAAGAUUGCAAAGGGAGAUGAACUUACUGACGACUACAGAAUUGGAUUCUGCUAACUGUUCCCUCAGUGUUCUCCAACACCCCUUCUAGAGCAUUGAGCUGCUCCUAGAGGCGGUGGGACCUCUUGCACUCCUCAGAGUAGAGGUCCUGGGCUACUCUAAGAUGCUAGAGGAUACCCCAGGCGUCUUCGUGCCCGAAGAUGGCGUCUUCGCUAGCGGCAUCAUCCUUGCCAAGCGGUUCUGAGCCCGCUUGGCUUUCCUCGGCUGCCUGGCUCGCAGCAGCCUCCUCAAAGGCCAGUGCUACGAGGAGCAGGGAGGAAGCCGACGCAGUUGGAUCAAGAUGACUUGAGCCCACCUCUGGAUUGACUUGGGGGGUAGGGCUACAAGAAGAACAAAGGAUAAAUAGCCAAUCAAGACAAACUGAGAACUGCAUUGGUCGAUGAUACCUGUCCAAACACCGAUGCUAAGCAGAAGUUGCAUCCUCGGAUGAAGAAGGCAAUGUCGGGUGCUUGCCUCUGUUGUCUGCCAUUGAUCAGAAGCUUAGGAUUUCUGAGGUGAGAGGGCAAGAGGUUUGAAGAUUGAGAGAUUGAAGAUGCGAGUCUAACUGUGUGACUUUUGCCCCUUGAAGCUCUGGUAUUAUUUAUAAUGGGGUAAAUGAAAGUCGAAGCGGCGAGUAGUUAAUCCCCUAAAAGUGGUAGAGUGGCUAUUGUGAAGGCAGUCUCUAGAACAUGGGGUGAGUGGAUCGGCUAAAAGUUAAAACGUCUCUGCAGUACCAGGGAUGUGGGCAAUAGAAAAUAGCCGAUUGGCUUAACUGUGACUACAAAUAAAUUAACUAAUAGAUCAGCUAACUUUACCGAUGAGGUUCUACUUCGCCUGGACUCAGAUAAAUAUUAUUGACAAGAGUUUUAAACAUAUAUGUAUAAUAGCUAAAAGGAGAAGUUUAGGGAAGUUAAGUCUGAAGAUUACAAGAUGCAAGAUAAAAUGCAGAAAGUAUUCAGAUUACAUAUCCAGGACAAACUGAAUGGAAUUUAAAGCUGAAAUUCUGAUACUAUCUAUUUCGGCUAUUUGUUGUUGGUCUUCUUCAGCUAAUCCAGGAAUUUUGGCCUUCUUGUCUUGCUAGAUUUUGUUGAGCUUGACCUUCAAAGCUGCCAUAUUCUUCUUCUGAUCGGCCAAAGAUGCAGGGAUCAGAGAAAGAUGCAGGGAUCAGAGAUAAAUCUUCUUUUUGUCUGAUGGCAUCUUCAACAAUCUUCAGCUGAACCAGCAAUUGUGUCCUUUCUUCAUUGAGAGCAGCUAGAUCUUUGUUGAUUUCAGCAAGAGAUUCUUUGAGUAGAUCAACUGUUUUCUUGACUAUUAGGAUUUCCUGGAUGCAUUGACUUUCUGCAGUAGCUGAGUUUUUUUGAGCCUCUCGAGCUGCUUGUCUGGAUUGAGCAUUAAGGAAUUUGGGGCCAUUGCCUUCCAAGAAUGCAGUCGGCUGAAUUAUUUCUUUCAGACAAGAAGGAACGUCAUCUUUAAUCUAGUUGAAAAUCUCUUUAAUUGGUCCCACAUCUUGAAUCAAGAUUGAAAUAGCUAGCUCCAGAUGGUCCAUCAAUCUUUGCAGUUGGGCCUUGAUGAAGUCAGGUAUAAUUGGGGGUGUAUCUUCUGAAAUUAGGAUUGGUUCUUCAUCAAUAUAUUCAUCUAGAGCAAAAGGGAGAUCAGGUGAAGAGACUUGUUCCUGCAAGGGACAAGAGGAUUAAUUUUUAUCAGAAGAUAUCAGUAAAUAAAGAUGGAUGAUUUAGUAUACUUGUUCUAUUGAGACCAUUGCUGAGCUAGGAAUAGCUAAUGAAGCAACUUCAAGGAUUUGAAGAUCUGGAUUCAGGAAAAUAAGUUAGUACAAGUAAAGGGGUUUAUCCUAUCGGCUAUUAUGUGAAAUAUUACCUGAAGAAACUUCUGCAAUAUUGCCUUGAUCAGGAUUAGCGUCAUGAUUGCUGUUGGUGAAAGAUAUAUCAUCUAAAGGGUGAGGGAGUUCAAGUCCUUUUUCAACAGCAGGUUCUUGGACAAUAUCCUAAAGAAUCAAGAGUUAGCUGAUGCAUGGGUAUGCUGUGUAAUAGAGAAAUCAAUGGGGAGCAUACCUUAGUAGCUGCAUCGGCUAAAAACUAGAGUUGUUUUGAAGGAGUAGCUUUAGUUUUCUUUGAAGUUCUCUUCUGAGAAGUAGUUGAUUGCUUUCUUUUUAGUGUGGCAAUCGGUUGAUCAUCAGGCAAAUUUGAUGUUGGCUUCUUCAUUAGAGCUCUCAAUGAAGUUUCAUCAUUGCCCAAUCUUGGGUUGGGACACCAGAUAUCAUAGUUCACUAAUGGAGGGGUCGAGCUAGCAAGAUCCUAUAGUUAAUCAAAGUAAGAAGCAUUCUGAGGUAUAGAAAUCUGAAAAUACAGUAUACAAAACAUACCUCCGGUGUAGCUUCAAAAUCUGGAUGUAGGAGGAAGCAGUAAGUAGGUACCGGUGCAUUAAAAAUAUGCUGGCUCCACUCUUGCCACCAAUGAUCAUGGGAUAUGGAAGUAAAAGGGGUACAAUCCCAUCCACUAAUGGCUUCUCGCAACAGGGAUUGCUCAAAAUGAAGGAUUCUAUUGUAUUCCACUCUAGUAUUAACAACUUCUCUCAGCUUCACUUUAUCAGCAAAAUAUAAAGCCGGGGGCAAUUGGCCAAAACCCAUUUGUCUAGCUAUUACUAAAGGAUAGUAGAAUUCAUAAGAAGUUGGAGGUUUUUCUCUAUCAUGCCUAAUCUCAACAGGUAGAAGCCUUGGCCUUACCAGAUGGCUCAAAAUUUUGAAUUCCUCAGCAUAACUAUAAAUAUUCUAGAAUCUGAAUAAUGCUGGGAGUUCAAAUUCUGGAAUAUUGUUGGGUAUUUUAAACGCAAACAGAAAAAUCCACAAGCGCACGGAUACCGAUGUAGCUUUCACCCGGGAGUAUUCCAAAGUAUCGAUUUUCCACAGGGAACGUGAGUGUACUAAUUAAGAUUCCAGAUCGUCCAAAGAUAACUAUAUAAUUAUUUUUGGUGGGAAGAGAGGAAGUUUCCUGAGAGUUUUCUAUUUGAUCUAAGAAUCAAGAAUUACUUCAAAGAUUAUUUAUUUUGGGACAUCAGAACACUAACCACAGAAAGAGAUGAGAAGGGGGCUAGGAAGCUCUGACUACGGUCCUACAAACACCGAUCCGAACGAGGUGGGAUACGUCGACCGUUAGGGCUGUUACUACCCUAGGGCUACUACAACAAUCCGCAAGAUUGGGUGCAAUUCCAGGUAAUUGCAAGACUAAACACCACAUCUAAUCUAUUAAUUACUACUCUAGCAUUAUAAAGACUAGAGCACUUGAUGCAAGCGGGAAUCCAAUAAAUAACUUGAAUGUAAAUAAAAGUAAUUAAAGAACUCAGGAGUUAUGAAUUGAAGAACUUGGAGAACGAUGAAAAACGAACCAGUUGCUGCAAAAGUACAAUGUUGAGGAAGAUCCGACAGAUCCGGCUCCUCCUCCGCUCUGCUCUUCUCUCUCCCUAUUUUCUAGAUUACAACUAGAACUAACUAGACCUAGAUGAACUAGAGGGAUCCUCUCUACUUGGAUGAAUAAUUGAAACCCUAGCUUUGAUUCUAUAGAAGAGGUAUGUUCUCCAGGGGCCAGGGGUCUGCUUAUAUAGUCCUUCCAAAUGAAUGUGGGCCAUCGGAUCAAACCGACAUUAAUCGCACGGUUUUCCUUGAUCCCUUAGGUCGUUGGAGGAUGAUCCGCGAAGUUGACCAUGAUUGGGCACUACAGGAGGGCGGGCGCCCUGGGCUAGGCCCCGUUCUGCCUCCGCUUCGUUCCCGUGGCUUCUAGAGUCUUCUAGAUGAUAGAAAAUUGCCGCACACAUUAAUGUCUCUAUGUAAACCCGAUGUGUGGACCUUUCCUCCGUAUUUCCUGAUAACCCCCUGCAGAAAUAGACAAACACCAAAACUCGUGGAAUUCUGUCAAAUAAAACCCUAAGUCUGGGUGUUGGUUGUUGAUAUUUGGUAACGCCAUCAGAAAAUGAUCCGCAAGUGCAUGGAUAUCGGUGAGCAUUUCACCCGGGAGGUUAUCCAGAGUAUGGUAUUUAUAUUUUUACCACUAGGAGAAAGGGUGCAUCCGACUAACCAAAUCUAUUGCUACUACCCUUUAGGCUACAAAGAAUGUUUCUCGAUGUGAGCGAUGUAUAGAGAAGACUGCAACCGUAGUCUCGUUCUGACCUUGGUAAGGAUGAUCUACUGUUCUAUUAGGGAAGCUUACGGAAUCUAAACACCACAAAGGAUGUUCGACCCGCACCUAUAAACCUACCCGUCCUGCUAACGAGAUGUGGGAUGCAAAGGUAACUCGGAAAUGUCACGUUCCUCGCUACUACCACGGUCCAGCUAGUCAGAGGAUAUCUAUGAGUACCCUAGCCCAAACACCACGUUUACGCUAGCAAUGAUUACUCUAAACUCGACCGAAAGAGAUUAAAGUAAACUCAUAAACCAAAGAACAAUAAAACAAGAACUUACUAGAAUUAAAGUUGAAUUACUGAAGAAUCCUAGGAGCAAGCUUUGGGUUAGGAGAACUUGAUCCCGAAGGUACAACCUCAGAGUAGACACCAACAGGCCGGGCUUCCUCCGAUCUACACCUCCACUCUAUCUCUCUCAAUCUAGUAGAAACUAGAAGAUCUAAUUCUACUCACAUUGGAUGCUAAGCCUAAAAGAAAUUUUAUUUAGAGGAGAGGUAUUCCUUUGAGGGCACCUCUCAACUCUAUGAUGAACUUGUUCUUCUCCAGGAGCCAGGGGCCUUGCUUAUAUAGUCUCCUCCUUUUGUGCCUUUUUGGUUCAGCAGGCGAUGUGGUACUAAACUUUCCACCAUAUCUCAUUAAAAUGCACAUAGGCCUUAAUGGACCAAAAUCUGAUUUGGGCCCAAUUAAUCCCGCAGCUCUUUUAUGUGGAGUCCUUCUUUUAUUAAUAUCUCUUGAUUUCGAAUUCCAAAUAUAGCAAAUAAUAUAUGCAUUUCGAUCAGCUCGACGAGAUCUUUGUAAUGGUGUACUCCAUUCUGUGAUUGGUGCUUGUACCAGGGCGGGGGCCCAAGGGGGGAGGGCGGGCGCCCUACCCCCGGGCCCGUUCGGCCUCCCGUCCGUUCCCGUGGCUUCUGGACUCUUCUAGAUUAUAGAAAAUUGCGCGGCACGUUAAUAUCUCUAUGUAAACCCGACGUGUGGGCCUUCCUCCAUAUUUCCUGAUAACCCUCUGCAGAAAUAGAUAAACACCAAAACUCGUGGAAUUCUGUCAGAUAAAACCCUAAGUCUAGAUGUUGGUUGCAUUUGAAUCCUUUUCUUUAUUUAUUUGAUGAUUAUAUUUGGUACUUAAGGACCGUCAACAUUGGUUGCAUUUGAAUCGUUUUCCAUGAUUAGUUGACAGUUAAAUGUGAGCAUUAAGGAUCGCCAACAAGCUCCCCCAAGCUUAACCUUUGCUCAUCCCUGAGCAAAGCUAAAAUCAGCAAGAAAAUAGGGGUUACUUUUAUGCCUUUUACUACAGGGUUUUUAAGUUAUUACUAAGGUCUUAAGUGAUUGAAAAACAGAACGAUCAAGUCAAGCACUAUGUCUCAAGUUCUAUUGUCUUACCUUUGUUCUGGAGUUUUUUUUUAAGUUUCCAAAAUAAAACUGAGGCAUUUGCCUUCUUGUCGAAAGAUAUAUAACUAGAGCUUGAAAAGUUUUAGCAUACUUACUUUGCAUUUUGCUAUGUCAAUGCUCGGAGCAAGGGAGAGGGAUGUCAUACUCCUAGAUCAAGACCUUUGACCUUUUUGAAAAGUUUGUCAUCUCUUACUGGCAUAUUGCUUAUUAGAGGGACCAUGGGCUAUCAUUUUUUUUAUUCUUUUUUUUCAGUCUCUCUCUCUCUUCUUUUUUUUAAGUAGGCACCAAGUACCCCUAAUUCUACUAUCGGACACGUGUCCAUUUUUUCCACUCAGGUGGGUAUCUUUGUACCCCUAAUUCUACUUCAGACACUUGUCCAUUUUUACCUCUCGUCUCAGUCUUUUUUUUCGAAUCAAAAUUUUGCAUAGUCCCAUGCCUCUAACGCAAUAAUACUUCGAAAGAGUAAAUCUUUUAUAUUUUUAAAACAAAAAGAUCUUGAUCUUUGGAGCAUGAUAAUUCUCUCAUCCAAAACUACAAGAAUUAACAAUGGCUUGAACAAAGUAAGUGCCCACAGUUUUAAUAUUUAUAUCUUAUAAGACUCUAGGUACUAUGUCAAACAGGAUCUCUUUUUUUUAAUUUUUAGAUUUUCAAAAGAUAAAAUCUCCAAAACACAAGUUAAAUAGUAGCUCAGACCUUCUCAUAUCAUGUUUGUCAAUUACCUAGACUUGGAUCAAACUUUCUUUUUAUUUUAUUUAAAACUUAGGAUUACACAAAACUAUUGUAUAUUACUCAAAAGAAAAACUUUGUUUGGUUUCAUGGUUAUGCAUUUUUUUAUUUAAUUCCGAAUACUAGUAAAUAAAACCAAGAAAGAAAAGUAAUACUUAUCUAGAUACACGUGGGGGUGUCUUCCCCAAGCUGGAUGUUGACAUAGUCGUUCACCCUUGUGGCCUGCAUGUUCGGUCUCAGUCUUCUUAAGUCUCAAAAUCCUACACAACCCAAAUAGACAACAAAACUCGUGGAGCAUAUUAAGGGUUAGGUAAUUGUCUAGAGCUUAUGAGAGCUUAAUGUGAGAAUUCUAUGAACUCAAUCACAUCAAGUUCCUCUACCAGGUUGUUUUGUGGAUCGAGAUAGAUUUUCAAGCGUUAACCAUUUACCUUAAAAGUGUUACCUGUUGACGGUUCUUAAGUAUCAAUUUUAAUUAUCAAAUAAACAAGAGAAAGGACCAAUAUGCAACCAGCACAUAGAAUUAGGGUUUGAUCUGACAGAAUUCCACGAGUUUUGUUGUUUAUCUAUUUCUGCAGGGGGUUAUCAGGAAAUAAGGAAGAAAGGCCCACAUGUCAGGAUUACAUAGAGAUAUCAACGCACCGUGCAAUUUUACAUCAUCUAGAAGACUCCAGAAGCCACAAGACCGAAGCGGAGGCGAAGCUGGGCCAGGCCCAGGGCGCCCGCCCCCCUUCUGGAGCCAAUUCAGGACUCCUUCGCUCGGGAUAUUCCACCGACCUAUUGGAUCAAGAAAAACAUAGUACCACCUCGGCUAUCGACCCAAAAACGCAUAGAAGGGGAGGACUAUAUAAGCGAGGCCCCCCUGGCCCCUGGAAGACAAGAAGAAAUUAUCAUAGAGACUGAGGGGUGCCCUCGAAGGAAAACCUCUUCUCUAAUUAAUAUUUCUUUUUAGGCUUAGCAAUCAAUGUAAGGUAGAAAUAGAUCUUCUAGUUUCUACUAGAUUGAGAGAGAUAGAGUGGAGGUGUAGAGUGGAGGAAGCCCGGCCUGUCGGUGUCUACUCCAAGCUUGUACCUGCGGGAUCAAGUUCUCCUAACCCGAAGCUUGCUCCUAGGAUUCUUCAGUAAUUCGACUUCUAAAUUCUAGUAAGUUCUUGUUUUAUUGUUCUUAUGGUUUAUGAGUUUACUUUAAUCUCUUCGCGUAGAGUUUAGAGUAAUCAUUGCUGGCGUAAACGUGGUGUUUAGGCUGGGGUACUCAUAGAUAUUCCCUGACUAGCUGGACCGUGGUAGUAGUGAGGAACGUGACAUUCCCGAGCUACCUUUGUAGAUCACAUCUCGUUAGCAGGAAGGAUAGGGUUUAUAGGUGCGGGUCGAACAUCCUUUGUGUUGUCUAGAUUCCGUUAGCCUCCCCAUUAGAACAAUAGAUCAUCCUUACCAAGGUUAGAAGGAGACUACGGUUGCAGUCUUCUCUAUUUAUCACUCACAUCGAAAGACAUUCUUUGUGCCUAAAGGUUAGUAGUAAUAGACCGGUUAGUCAGAUGCACUCUUUCUCCUAGUGGUAAAAAAAUAAAUACGAUACUCUGGAUAAUUUCCUAGGUGAAGUGCUCACCGAUAUCCGUGCGCUUGCGGAUCAAUUCCUUAUUGCGUUCCCAAAUAUCAACAAGCAUUUCUGGCGCCGUUGCCGGGGAGAAAGACGGUUGCUGAGAUAACCUGUGUCUUGCUAUUAGCUUGUAUCUAUACUUUUAUCUUUUCUUAUCUUUUAUUCUUUAUUUAUUUUUCUUUAUUCUUACCUUAUGGAAAAUCAAAAUUCUAAAUCGAUCCAUGAGUCUGCAAUCCCUUUAGCAACUGACCUUUUACCAUGGGAAUCAUCACAGCCUAUCCAAACACCCCAGUAUAAGUUAAGUUCUAGGUUGAUUGCCAUGAUUCAAAACCUAUCUUUUUCGGAAAAGGAAGACGAAAACCCUUACCUUCAUAUUAGAGAUUUUGAGCAAACAUGUGAUUGUCUUCGCAUUGAAGGCAUUUCUGAUAAGACUUUACGUUGGAAGCUUUUUCCUUUUUCUCUAAGGGGAGAAGCUAGACAAUGGUACAGUCAGAAGGUAAGUCAACAACAAGGUGAAUGGGGAGUUUUACGAGCCAACUUUUGUCUAGAUUUCUUUUCCCUUGACCGUAUAGCCGACCUUAGACUCGAAGUCCUAUCUUUUAAACAAAAAGAUAAUGAAACUUUGGGAAAAUCCUGGAAACGUUUUUCUGAUCUUUUAGAAUCUGGUCCAAACCUUAAUCUUGAAGACCCUGUUCUUUUAUUUCACUUUUUUCGAGGUCUUCAUAAAAAUCACAAACAAAUGCUACACACAAUGUCUAGAGGUUCUUUCUUUCGCAUCCCUGCUGAUGAAGCUAGAGUGAUCCUAGAUAGAAUCCUAGAAGCUGAGAUGGAUAAUACCCUUCAUGAUGAAACCAACGAAGCCGAAGUAGACACUCUGCCAAAUUCUUCUACUUUAGCUAUCCCAAGUUCUGAGCCACAAGAGGAAGAAAUUCCACUACUGGACUUCAUGCUGGAUAUAGAAUCCGAUCUUUUUGCAGAUUUUGGAAAUAUUUCAAAUUACCAUUCUAUUGACAAACCCCAAAACGGCCAGUUUAGCAUUUAUUUACCAAGUGAAUAUCAAUUGAGAGAGCUUAUCUCAGUAAUGAGUAGCGAAUGGUUGGAGGAAUCAGAGCUUUCCUCUGAUGUGAUCCGAUUGGACACACCCUCUAUAACUAUACGCUGUGCUUAUAAUUCUGAUCGAUUUAAUGCUCUCUAUAAUCCUGUUGUGGGGAUCAACAUUAUGUCUGAAUCCUUUGCACUUAAACUAUUUAAAAAUCUUGUCUUAACCCCCACAACGAAGGUCAUAAAGGAAUCUUCGGGACGAUUAGUCCCCAGUCUUGGAAUUAUUAAUGUCCUACCUCUUACGGUAGAAGGCUCCAUGGUUCAUUUGAACUUCUAUAUCUUUGAUAUAUGGGACUUUGACCUAUUAAUAGGACAACCUUUUAGAAGACUCCUUUAUGAAGGUCAUACUGGAAAGCUACACAUUUCUUUUGGAAAAACUUUUCAAUUCCCAAUAAUAAUUUCACACUCCUUAAAUAAUAAGGCCGAGUCAUAUCUUUUGCCUGAUCCUAUGGAGGAGGUAAAGGCAGCAUCUCUAGAGCUUUUAGAUGAACCAGACUUAGAAGACGAAACUCCUUUCUUCACAGAAGAAGAAGACGAACCUUCUGAGCCUGAACCCUUAGAUGAGUUUGCAGAAACACCUAGACCUCCUAUAGAGCUCAAGACUUUACCACCCGGUCUUACCUAUGCUUUCCUAAACAAUAAUCCAAAGUUCCCUGUGAUCAUUAGCGAUAAACUCACUCAGGAUCAAACUCUGCGAUUAAUGACCAUUCUUGAGAAACAUCACUCAGUUUUUGGCUACUCACUUCAAGAUCUUACAGGAAUCAGUCCUAUGAUUUGUACCCAUCGUAUUCCAACAGAUCCUUGUGUUACACCCUCUCGAGAACCCCAACGUAGACUUAACAACACUAUGAGAGAGGUAGUUAAAAAGGAAGUUAUAAAGUUGCUGCAUGCAGGGAUUAUAUAUCCUGUGCCGCACAGUGAGUGGGUAAGCCCAGUGCAAGUUGUGCCUAAAAAGGGAGGCAUGACAGUUAUUAUGAAUGAAAAGAAUGAGCUAAUUCCGCAACGCACCGUCACAGGAUGGCGGAUGUGCAUAGACUAUAGAAAACUAAACAAAGCCACGAGAAAGGUUCACUUUCCUUUACCUUUUAUAGAUGAGAUGCUAGAGCGGUUAGCAAACCAUUCAUUCUUCUGUUUCUUAGAUGGAUAUUCAGGGUAUCAUCAAAUCCCGAUCCAUCCCGAUGAUCAAAGCAAAACCACUUUUACAUGCCCUUAUGGAACUUAUGCUUAUCGUAGAAUGUCUUUCGGGUUAUGUAAUGCACCAGCUUCUUUUCAAAGAUGCAUGAUGUCUAUAUUUUCUGAUAUGAUUGAAGAGAUUAUGGAAGUUUUCAUGGAUGAUUUCUCUGUUUAUGGAAAAACUUUUGAUAGUUGUCUUGAAAACUUAGACAAGGUUUUGCAAAGAUGUGAAGAAAAGCACUUAAUCCUUAAUUGGGAAAAAUGUCAUUUUAUGGUUAGGGAAGGAAUAGUGCUAGGACACUUAGUGUCUGAAAGAGGUAUUAAGGUAGACAAAGCUAAAAUUGAAGUAAUUGAACAACUACCUCCACCUGUGAACAUAAAAGGAAUUCGAAGUUUUCUUGGCCAUGCUGGUUUUUAUCGUAGAUUCAUAAAAGAUUUUUCAUUUAUUGCUAGACCACUUACUCUUUUGCUAGCCAAGGAUGCUCCUUUCGAUUUUGAUGAUGCAUGUCUAACAUCUUUCAAUUUAUUAAAGAAAGCACUCAUCUCUGCACUAAUCAUUCAACCCCCUGAUUGGUCGUUGCCUUUUGAAAUUAUGUGUGAUGCUAGUGAUUAUGCUGUGGGGGCAGUAUUGGGACAAACUAAAGAUAAGAAGCAUCAUGCAAUUGCUUAUGCCAGUAAAACUUUGACAGGAGCUCAACUUAAUUAUGCAACCACUGAAAAAGAGCUUCUGGCUGUUGUCUUUGCCAUUGAUAAAUUUAGAUCUUAUUUAGUUGGAGCUAAAAUAAUUGUUUACACUGAUCAUGCUGCACUAAAAUAUUUGCUCACUAAAAAAGAUGCUAAACCUCGCCUGAUUAGAUGGAUCUUAUUACUCCAAGAAUUUGACUUAGAAAUAAAAGAUAAAAAAGGAGUAGAAAAUUCUGUUGCUGAUCACUUGUCUAGAAUGUAUUUUAAGAGUCCACAGGAAACCCCUAUCAAUGAUUCACUCCGGGACGACAUGCUCUACGGGAUUAACAGGUCUGACCCCUGGUAUGCAGAUGUUGUUAAUUUUAUGGUUUCAGGGUAUGGACCACCAGGAGCAAACAAGAAGAAGCUUGUUCAAGAAAGUCGUUCACAUAUAUGGGAUGAGCCAUACCUCUUCCGAGUAUGCUCUGAUGGCUUACUCAGGAGAUGUGUGACCACUGAGGAAGGAUGGAAGAUCAUCGACAGAUGUCAUUCAUCACCAUAUGGAGGUCACUAUGGAGCAUUCCGUACACAUUCAAAGAUCUGGCAGUGUGGAUUCUAUUGGCCUACAAUGUAUGAAGACACGAAGCAAUAUAUCAGAAGAUGUGGGCCAUGUCAAAGACACGGAAACAUAAAUACAAGGGAUGCAAUGCCACUCACCAACAACCUUCAGAUUGAGCUCUUUGAUGUCUGGGGAAUAGACUACAUGGGUCCAUUUCCUCCAUCAAAGAAGUGCGAGUACAUCUUGGUGGCGGUUGAUUAUGUCUCCAAGUGGGUAGAAGCAUUACCUUGCAAGCAUGCCGACAACGUCAGUUCAAAGAGGAUGUUUGAAGAAAUUAUAUUUCCAAGAUUUGGAGUUCCCAGAGUAGUGAUAAGUGAUGGAGGAGCACAUUUCAUCGACAAACGCUUCAAGCAAUACCUAUCAAGACAUGGAAUCCGUCACAACGUCGCUACCCCCUACCAUCCUCAGACAAGUGGCCAAGCAGAGACUUCCAACAAACAAAUCAUGAAUAUUCUUCAGAAGACAGUAAAUGAAAUGGGAACGGCGUGGAAAGACAAGUUACCCGAUGCACUCUGGGCAUACCGGACAGCAUACAAGACCCCAAUUGGAAUGUCUCCAUACCAAUUGGUGUACGGGAAGACUUGCCAUCUACCUGUUGAACUAGAAUUCAAAGCACACUGGGCCAUAAAGAGAUGGAAUAUGGACCUAGAUGUUGCUGGAGAUUAUAGAAGAAUGCAAUUAUCAGAAUUGGAAGAAUGGCGAGAGAAGGCAUAUCACAAUUCAAAGAUCUACAAAGAAAGAGUCAAACGGUGGCAUGACAAGAGAAUCAAGAAGAAGGAGUUCACACCCGGAGAUAAGGUAUUACUUUUUAAUUCCAGGGUGAAGCUUUUCGGGCAUGGAAAACUCCGAAGCAAAUGGGAAGGACCAUUCAAGGUAAUCAAUUCAUCAUCCCACGGAGCUAUCACACUUCAAAAUAACGAAGGUACGUUAUUCAAGGUAAAUGGUCAACGUCUUAAAUUAUUUUUAGAGCCCAAUGAGGAAUUUGAAGAAAUAGACGUAGUCCAUUUUUACCUUCCCAUAGAGAAUUAGAGCCCGACACUUUUGGUCUGAUGGUUUUGGGUCAUAUAUAUAUUUUUCUAAAUAAUUUCGCAUCUAGAAACGCGCUCGGAAAAGUGGGCCCACAGAGGGGCCAGAGAGAGGGCGGGCGCCCAGGUCAAGUGGGCGGGCGCCCUGCCCCUGUUCCCCCUUGGUCUCGACUUUCUCUGUUAUGGAAAAUGCACUUAUGGUAAUUCGAAUAAUCCCUCGGACGGAAAGUUUCCCACACAAGUUGACGGGAGCAACCCGAACAACCCAUAGAGGCAUCCUUUUGACCCCUAUAUAAACAGACCCCUGACCUCAGUUUUCAAACACCAAGCCAUCAAGCUUUCUCUCCUUCAAUUAGAGCUUGAUUAGCUCGUCUUUAAUUAAAAUUUUAUUUCCUUGCUACUCCAAUGGCCGAGAAAUACCACGAUGAUUGGGAAGUCGUCCCCUUCAACCUCAACAUGGAGCCAGUGGAAGACCCCGAUGCCCGUGCUCUCGUCCCGGCCAACACAGAGCGUCAACUAGAAGCCAUGCCAUUACGUCAACGCAGCUCUGCCCAAUCUUAUCAUGCUCAACCAGUUCUCACUGCACCACCACAACCCCUACUCCUCAAAGGACCAUCAUCCAAGACGAAGACCACUAUCAAGGUGCCAAUCGGCACAAGAGUCCUUCCACCUAGACCCAAUGAGAGGGUCGUUGGAGUCAAGACCAACCGAAGCGGUGAGAUCAGCAGUGUUCGCUACACUACGGAGGAGGAAAGGCCUUACUUUGAAGGGAUUAGAGCAGCCAAAGUCCGUUUCAUCCCUCCAAAGGCAGCCCCAAAGCACGCUCUCAAUGCUUUUGAGAUACCUCCCAAGCGUCGCAAGACUAUAAUGGAUAUUGAUGAGGAAGUUCGCAGGCUAGAUAGAAUUAUCAUAGACCUCCAGUCCUCGAUUAAUUCCCUCACUAGGCAGCUCUCUAACCACAACACCGUUAUACUAGGCCUUAGGCAGGAUCUUGCCAGUGCCAACAAGAAGAUCAAAGAAUUAGAGCGCCGCUAAGUUAUCUCGAUUAGACCUUGAGGCAAUACAUCUUAGUCAUUUAUCUUUAAAUUCGGUUUAGGUUUGCUAUUAUCAUCAAUUUACUAUUAUCAUCAGUUUGCUAUCAGUCUUUUGUAAUAAAUGCCUCAAGAUCAAUAAAGAGUAUUAUUAUUAUUAUUAUUAUUAUUAUUAUUAUUAUUAUUAUUAUUAUUAUUAUUAUUAUUAUUAUUAUUAUUAUUAUUAUUAUUAUUAUUAUUAUUAUUAUUAUUAUUAUGUCUUGUGUGUCUCUACUUUACUUUUGUGCAAGAAAGCAGAAAACAAGUAUGGGGGAGAUCCCUCGACAUGCUAAACACACUCCGACUACACCACUCCUCAAUUCAGGUACACACUUUGCACACUUUACUUCAUACAUACAUUUAUUCCGGAUUAUGCAGAUUACUGUUCCCGACAUGAUAAAUUAAAAAAAAGAUUAAAAUAUUUCUAAUCAUGAUUAAUCUCAAUCUGUGAUAUUUCCUGAAAACUUGCAAUUAGUAUAAAAUCAUUUUUAAAAACCCUGUGUUACUUAAGUCAAGAUGGAAUAUGUGAUGGUAGAGUAUGAGUUUCUUAUUCUUGAUAUCAUUGUUGCUUGGAGAAUUUAUUUCAAAAUAUUCAAAUUUCUAGCUACCAUCCUCAGUGUUUUAUAUGCCUGAUAAGACUGAAAAUAUUAAUUAUGAUUAUAAAAGCUAUUUGCUCUGUAUUGAGUUUGUUCAGAAUGAGUUAGACCCUUGUUGAGAGAUUUAUCAUGCUCCCAAGAUCAAGACACUAUUUCAGUAAGAUUCACUAUUCCGAAGUAUUAUUGCAUUAGAGGCAUGGGCUAUGCAAAAAAUAGAAGAUAUUUCGAGGAAAUAAAAAGGAGCAAGUGCUCGACAACCUCGCAGAAAAAAUGGACAAGUGUCCGGCAGUAGAAUUAGGGCUACCUCGGUAUCCACUUAAAAAAAAAGAGAGAGAAAAAAGAGAAAAAAAAUGAUAGCCUAUGGUCCCUCUAAUAAGCAAUAUGCCAGCAAGAGAUGACAAGUUUUUAAUUUCCAAAGUCUUUGAUCUAAGAGUAUGACAUUCCCCUCCUUGGAUCCCGUUUUGAUCAGGCAAUAAAUGCAAAGUAAGUACGCUUGAGAAUUUUUGCAAAAUAAAACAGCCUCAGUGAGAUAUAUAUAAAAGAUAAUGAGUGAUCUGAGAGAACCUAUGAGGAUAAAAAGGUAUGCUAACUUUCUUUUAAAAAUAUACAAAAACUCCAAGUGACUGGAUUGAGAAGAAAGGAUCUUUACUCUUAACCAUAUACUUCCAUGACUAUGGUACACAGUGGAAUUUUUGACACCCUGCAAUUAUAAAGAGAAUGUUUUAAAUGUUUACCCCAGAUAUUAUUCUCAACCAUCCUUUUCUCGAGGACGAGUAAAAGCCUAAGUAUGGGGGUAUUUGUUGACGGUUCUUAAGUAUCAAUUUUAAUUAUCAAAUAAACAAGAGAAAGGACCAAUAUGCAACCAGCACAUAGAAUUAGGGUUUGAUCUGACAGAAUUCCACGAGUUUUGUUGUUUAUCUAUUUCUGCAGGGGGUUAUCAGGAAAUAAGGAAGAAAGGCCCACAUGUCUGGAUUACGUAGAGAUAUCAACGCACCGCGCAAUUUUACAUCAUCUAGAAGACUCCAGAAGCCACGAGGCCGAAGCGGAGGCGAAGCUGGGCCAGGCCCAGGGCGCCCGCCCUGGAAGCCUGGGCGCCCGCCCCCCUUCUGGAGCCAAUUCAGGACUCCUUCGCUCGGGAUAUUCCACCGACCUAUUGGAUCAAGAAAAACAUAGUACCACCUCGGCUAUCGACCCAAAAACGCAUAGAAGGGGAGGACUAUAUAAGCGAGGCCCCCCUGGCCCCUGGAAGACAUGAAGAAAUUAUCAUAGAGACUGAGGGGUGCCCUCGAAGGAAAACCUCUUCUCUAAUUAAUAUUUCUUUUUAGGCUUAGCAAUCAAUGUAAGGUAGAAAUAGAUCUUCUAGUUUCUACUAGAUUGAGAGAGAUAGAGUGGAGGUGUAGAGUGGAGGAAGCCCGGCCUGUCGGUGUCUACUCCAAGCUUGUACCUGCGGGAUCAAGUUCUCCUAACCCGAAGCUUGCUCCUAGGAUUCUUCAGUAAUUCGACUUCUAAAUUCUAGUAAGUUCUUGUUUUAUUGUUCUUAUGGUUUAUGAGUUUACUUUAAUCUCUUCGCGUAGAGUUUAGAGUAAUCAUUGCUGGCGUAAACGUGGUGUUUAGGCUGGGGUACUCAUAGAUAUUCCCUGACUAGCUGGACCGUGGUAGUAGUGAGGAACGUGACAUUCCCGAGCUACCUUUGUAGAUCACAUCUCGUUAGCAGGAAGGAUAGGGUUUAUAGGUGCGGGUCGAACAUCCUUUGUGUUGUCUAGAUUCUGUUAGCCUCCCCAUUAGAACAAUAGAUCAUCCUUACCAAGGUUAGAAGGAGACUACGGUUGCAGUCUUCUCUAUUUAUCACUCACAUCGAAAGACAUUCUUUGUGCCUAAAGGUUAGUAGUAAUAGACCGGUUAGUCAGAUGCACUCUUUCUCCUAGUGGUAAAAAAAUAAAUACGAUACUCUGGAUAAUUUCCUGGGUGAAGUGCUCACCGAUAUCCGUGCGCUUGCGGAUCAAUUCCUUAUUGCGUUCCCAAAUAUCAACAAGCAUUUCUGGCGCCGUUGCCGGGGAGAAAGACGGUUGCUGAGAUAACCUGUGUCUUGCUAUUAGCUUGUAUCUAUACUUUUAUCUUUUCUUAUCUUUUAUUCUUUAUUUAUUUUUCUUUAUUCUUACCUUAUGGAAAAUCAAAAUUCUAAAUCGAUCCAUGAGUCUGCAAUCCCUUUAGCAACUGACCUUUUACCAUGGGAAUCAUCACAGCCUAUCCAAACACCCCAGUAUAAGUUAAGUUCUAGGUUGAUUGCCAUGAUUCAAAACCUAUCUUUUUCGGGAAAGCAAGACGAAAACCCUUACCUUCAUAUUAGAGAUUUUGAGCAAACAUGUGAUUGUCUUCGCAUUGAAGGCAUUUCUGAUAAGACUUUACGUUGGAAGCUUUUUCCUUUUUCUCUAAGGGGAGAAGCUAGACAAUGGUACAGUCAGAAGGUAAGUCAACAACAAGGUGAAUGGGGAGUUUUACGAGCCAACUUUUGUCUAGAUUUCUUUUCUCUUGACCGUAUAGCCGACCUUAGACUCGAAGUCCUAUCUUUUAAACAAAAAGAUAAUGAAACUUUGGGAAAAUCCUGGAAACGUUUUUCUGAUCUUUUAGAAUCUGGUCCAAACCUUAAUCUUGAAGACCCUGUUCUUUUAUUUCACUUUUUUCGAGGUCUUCAUAAAAAUCACAAACAAAUGCUACACACAAUGUCUAGAGGUUCUUUCUUUCGCAUCCCUGCUGAUGAAGCUAGAGUGAUCCUAGAUAGAAUCCUAGAAGCUGAGAUGGAUAAUACCCUUCAUGAUGAAACCAACGAAGCCGAAGUAGACACUCUGCCAAAUUCUUCUACUUUAGCUAUCCCAAGUUCUGAGCCACAAGAGGAAGAAAUUCCACUACUGGACUUCAUGCUGGAUAUAGAAUCCGAUCUUUUUGCAGAUUUUGGAAAUAUUUCAAAUUACCAUUCUAUUGACAAACCCCAAAACGGCCAGUUUAGCAUUUAUUUACCAAGUGAAUAUCAAUUGAGAGAGCUUAUCUCAGUAAUGAGUAGCGAAUGGUUGGAGGAAUCAGAGCUUUCCUCUGAUGUGAUCCGAUUGGACACACCCUCUAUAACUAUACGCUGUGCUUAUAAUUCUGAUCGAUUUAAUGCUCUCUAUAAUCCUGUUGUGGGAAUCAUUAGUGAGGAACGUGACAUUUCCGAGCUACCUUUGUAGAUCACAUCUCGUUAGCAGGAAGGAUAGGGUUUAUAGGUGCGGGUCGAACAUCCUUUGUGUUGUCUAGAUUCCGUUAGCCUCCCCAUUAGAACAAUAGAUCAUCCUUACCAAGGUUAGAAGGAGACUACGGUAGCAGUCUUCUCUAUUUAUCACUCACAUCGAAAGACAUUCUUUGUGCCUAAAGGUUAGUAGUAAUAGACCGGUUAGUCAGAUGCACUCUUUCUCCUAGUGGUAAAAAAAUAAAUACGAUACUCUGGAUAAUUUCCCGGGUGAAGUGCUCACCGAUAUCCGUGCGCUUGCGGAUGUAUUCCUUAUUGUGUUCCCAAAUAUCAACAUUACCUAUGUCGUCUUGGAUGGUAAUGGCUCCAUGAGUUGAAGUGUCAAUAACCUUGUAUGGUCCAUCCCACUUACUUCGUAGCUUACCAUGCCCAAAGAGCUUAACUCUUGAAUUGAAUAGUAGAAUCUUAUCUCCAGGCUUAAACUCCUUGUGCUUGAUUCUCUUAUCAUCCCAUCAUUUUGUUCUCUCUUUAUAGAUCCUUUAAUUGUGGUAGGCUUUCUCUCUCCAUUCUUCUAGCUCAGAUAGUUGCAUCAAACGAUUCUCGCUAGCGAGGUGGAGAUCCAUGUUCCAUUUCUUGAGUGCCCAAUGAGCCUUAAACUCUAUUUCCACAGGCAAAUGACAAGUUUUUCUAUAUACAAGUUGAUAAGGUGACAUACCUAUGGGUGUUUUGAAUGCAGUUCUAUAUGCCCAAAGUGCAUCAGGAAGUUUGUCCUUCCAUCCCUUACUCAUCUCAUCUACGGUCUUUUGUAAAAUAUUUUUGAUUUGUUUGUUAGAUGUUUCGGCUUGACCGCUAGUCUGAGGAUGGUAUGGUGUUGCGACGUUGUGUCGAACUCCAUGAUCGGCUAGGUACUUCCGGAAGAUUUUGUCAAUGAAGUGGGAACCUCCAUCACUUAUAACUAUCCGGGGUAUACCAAAGCGAGGAAAGAUUACUUCAUGGAACAUUCUCUUGGCAUGUUUUGAAUCAGCUGAUCGACAAGGUAGGGCUUCUACCAAUUUGGACACGUAGUCCACAGCUACUAAGAUAUACUCGCAAUUCCCGGACAUAGGGAAUGGCCCCAUGAAAUCAGUGCCCCAUACAUCGAAAAGUUCUACUUGAAGAUUAUUUGUGAGAGGCAUUUCAUUUCAUGAGUUGAUAUUCCCAUGUUUUUGACAUCGGUGGCAUCUCCUAACAAAGUCCUUUGUAUCUUCAUACAUCGUUAGCCAGAAAAAGUCACUUUGCCAAAUUUUAGCAUGUGUCCGGAAUGCUGCAUAGUGUCCUCCAUAUGGCGAGGCAUGGCAUCUUUCCAUAAAUUGAGUAGCCUCAACCAUAGGAACACACCUUCUCAAGAGUCCAUCAGCGCAGACUCGAAAAAGAUAUGGCUCAUCCCAAAGGUGGAAACGACUAUCAUGAAGCAACUUCCUUUUGUUUGUACACGGUGGGACAUAGCCUUUUACUAUAAAGUUUACGAUGUCUGCGUACCAUGGAUCUUCAUGUGUUGUCUUAAGCAAGGUGUCGUUCCUUAGGUAGUCAUUUAUGGGAAGCUCAUCAUGUGUUUCCUUAUAUUGAAGCCUAGACAAGUGGUCGGCUACGGAAUUCUCUACUCCCUUCCUAUCUCGGAUUUCUAUGUCAAAGUCUUGGAGUAGAAGAAUCCAUUGAAUUAGACAAGGCUUAGCAUCUUGCUUAGUGAGGAGGUACUUGAGAGCAGCAUGGUCUGAAUAGAUGAUUAUCUUUGCCCCCACUAAGUAAGAUCUAAACUUUUCUAUAGCAAAGACAACAGCCAAAAGCUCUUUUUCAGUUGUAGUGUAAUUGAGCUAUGGUCCAGACAAGGUUUUGCUAGCAUAGGAUAUGGCAUAAUGCUUUUUAUCCUUGGUUUGUCCUAAAACGGCACCAACCGCAAAAUCUAUAGCAUCACACAUGAUCUCAAAAGGAAGAUUCCAAUCAGGUGGUUGGAUAAUCGGGGCUGAGAUGAGUGCUUUCUUAAGAGUUUGAAAAGAUUCAUGACACUCAUCACUAAAGAUGAAAGGUGCAUCCUUAGCUAGGAGACUAGUUAGGGGUCUAGCAAUUUGAGAGAAGUUCUUGAUAAAGCGUCUAUAGAACCCUACAUGUCCCAAAAAGCUACGGAUUCCUUUCACAUUCGUGGGAGGUGGAAGUUUUUCAAUAACUUCAAUCUUUGCUUUGUCCACCUCUAUACCACGUUCGGACACUUUAUGUCCUAGCACUAUUCCUUCCUGAACCAUAAAAUGGCAUUUCUCCCAGUUCAGGAUUAAGUGCUUUUCUUCACAUCGCUGCAAGACUCUAUCUAAAUUCUCCAAACAAUGAUCGAAGGUUUUGCCAUAGAUGGUAAAAUCAUCCAUGAAAACCUCCAUGAUUUUCUCAAUCAUGUCCGAGAAAAUAGACAUCAUGCACCGUUGGAAAGAAGCUGGAGCAUUGCACAGUCCAAACGACAUUCGUCGGUAUGCAUAAGUUCCAUACGGGCAUGUAAAAGUAGUCUUUUCUUGGUCAUUUAGGUGGAUUGGGAUUUGGUGAUAUCCAGAAUAACCAUCAAGGAAACAAAAGAAAGAGUGGUUUGCAAGCCGUUCCAACAUUUCAUCAAUGAAGGGUAACCGAAAGUGAUCUUUCCUGUUAGCCUUGUUGAGUUUUCGAUAGUCAAUACACAUAUGCCACCCAGUGACAAUUCGUUGAGGGAUGAGUUCAUUCUUCUCAUUCCUAACAACCAUCAUUCCUCCUUUCUUUGGCACUACUUGGACAGGGCUAACCCACUCACUAUGUGGCACAGGAUAAAUAAUCCCAGCAUUAUAGAGUUUGAGGACCUUUUUCUUAACAACCUCUCGCAUAGCAUUGUUAAGUCUCUGUUGUGGUUCCCUUGAAGGUGUAAAAUUGGGAUCAAUAGGGAUACGACGAGUGCAGAGAAUGGGACUAAUGCCCAUGAGAUCUUCGAGAGAGUAGCCAAAUGCUGAUCUAUGCCUUUCAAGAACAGUGACAAGUUGUUGUGUUUCAAAAUCAGGAAGCUUGUCACUGAUAAUUACUGGAGUUUUUGGGUUAUUGUGCAAAAACACAUAUCUAAGGCCAGAAGGAAGAGGUUUUAACUCUAUCGAAGGAGGUGAAGGUUGUUCAUUUUUGUCUAGCUCAACGGGUUCUACCAACUCUUCUUUUUCUUGAACAAAGUGUUCAUGAUUAAAGAAUGGUUGGGCCAUCUCCUCUUGAGUCAGGAUUAAGAUCUCCUCGAUAGGAUCUGGUUAAAGUUUGGGUUCCACUAUCGUGUUAAUUGAUCUAGCAAGACGAACAACAAUAGUGGAAUUCCCAACCUUGAAGUCUAAAUGACCUCGUUGUGGUUGUUCUUGUAGAAGUUUCAUGAUUGGUCUGCCAAUCAAGAGAGGAAUCUCUGGUAUGUCAAAAAUAUGAAAAUCUAAACAUAUUCCAGAGUCCUUGUUUCUAACAGGAACUGCCCUUAAUACCCCAUGGCCUUCUAGAAUUAAUCUAGAUGGAUUUUGUAAAAGUUUUUGAGAUGAGGUUAUGGACUCGUUGGGAUAAAGAGUGUCAGCUAACUCCUUGGAAAUAACAUUUAUCCCAACAUAUGGAUUGUAGUGGACCUUCCUAGCGGACCCUCUAAUUUGGCACAGAAGAAUGGUUGAAGGAGUAAUGAUUCGAGCUACCACCGGAGACAGCUCAGCUUCUCUUAGCCAUUCGUAACUCAGAAUAGCCGAAAGGCUUUUGAUGUGUUCUAUGUCAACAGAUUCUACUCUUAGAACAGAUUGAGUGGUCCCUGCUAGAGGUCGUGUUUGGAUAGGAAAAUUUGAGGUGUUUCCAUAAUCUUCAAAAAGAUCUUCCUCGAAUUCAAAGGGAUGCUCUAAAGGUGGUAGUUCAUCAUACCUUAGUUGGUUUUGCAUUCCCUUAUCAGGAGGUUUCUCUACAACCAAAUUAAUAGAUGGGUCAGGUGGAAUUUCUAACUCGGUUGCAAGUUCCUCAUCUUUUGGUUUAGGAUUAGGCUCGACUUCUUUUUCUUCUUCAGGAAACUCAUCAUAAAUGCCUGUGUAAGGGGUAUUUUCAAAGAUUCUCUCUAGGAUAGCUCUCCCCUCAUCUGUGAGUUUGUGUGUGAAUGAGCCUCCUAAAGCAAUGUCGAGGUGAAGAGGAGCUUCCUUGUUUAGACCAUGAUAAAAGUGGUAAUACAGUACAUGGUCAGGUAGGGAAAGGUUUGGACCAAAAUUGGUAAGGCUUGUGAACCUAGCCCAAGCUGCUCCUAAAGUUUCCUUCUCUCGUUGUUUGAAUGUAAGAAUUUCGAUUCUAAGGUCAGUGAUUCGAAAAAGUGGGAAGAAAGCGAGACAAAAGUUGUCCCAACGUUCAUCCCAAUUUCCAUUAAUGCCUCCUACAGAAUGAGCAUACCACUUUUUUGCUCUUCCCAAAAGGGAGAACGGAAAUAAUUUCCAUUUAAGGGUUUCUUGUGUCAUGCCAGAAAUAGAUCGGCAAGAGCACAACUGCUCGAAUUCUCUAAGGUGGGUGUAUGUAUCUUCAUCUACUUGCCCAGAGAAGGGUUGCUCCUGAAUCAUGGCUAUUAGAUCAGGGCUGAGGUCGUAGCCAUCUGUAAGAAUUGGAUGUGAUGAUGGUGGUGGCUCUAAUAACUCGCCCUUUGGAGCAAAGAAUUUAUAGAUAGGAGUGAAAUCCAUGUGGCGUGGUGAAAAUGGUAAGGUGGGUGUGGUAAAAAAGGAAAAGAAAAAGGAUACACGGAUGACUUGGUUCGAAACUAGCACAGCUACCAUUCCCCGGCAACGGCGCCAGAAAGCUUGUUGGGUAUUUUAAACGCAAACAGAAAAAUCCACAAGCACACGGAUACCGAUGUAGCUUUCACCCGGGAGUAUUCCAGAGUAUCGAUUUUCCACAGGGAACGUGAGUGUACUAAUUAAGAUUCUAGAUCGCCCAAGGAUAACUAUAUAAUUAUUUUUGGUGCGAAGAGAGGAAGUUUCCUGAGAGUUCUCUAUUUGAUCUAAGAAUCAAGAAUUACUUCAAAGAUUAUUUAUUUCAGGACAUCAGAACACUAACCACAGAAAGAGAUGAGAAGGGGGCUAGGAAGCUCUGACUACGGUCCUACAAACACCGAUCCGAACGAGGUGGGAUACGUCGACCGCUAGAGCUAUCACUACCCUAGGGUUACCACAACAAUCCGCAGGAUUGGGUGCAAUUCCAUGUAAUUGCAAGACUAAACACCACGUCUAAUCUAUUAAUUACUACUCUAGCGUUAUAAAGACUAGAGCACUUGAUGCAAGUGGGAAUCCAAUAAAUAACUUGAAUGUAAAUAAAAGUAAUUAAAGAACUCAGGAAUUAUGAAUUGAAGAACUUGGAGAACGAUGAAGAACGAACCAGUUGCUGCAAAAGUACAAUGUUGAGGAAGAUCCGGCUUCUCGUCCGCUCUCCUCUUCUCUCUCCCUAUCUUCUAGAUUACAACUAGAACUAACUAGAACUAGAACUAGAGGAACUAGAACUAGAACUAGAUGAACUAGAGGGAUCCUCUCAACUUAGAUGAAUAAUUGAAACCCUAGCUUUGAUUCUAUAGAAGAGGUAUGUUCUCCAGGGGCCAAGGGGUCUGCUUAUAUAGUCCUUCCAAAUGAAUGUGGGCCGUCGGAUCAAACCGACAUUAAUCGCACGGUUUUCCUUGAUCCCUUAUUUCGGUGGAGCAUGAUCCGCGAAGUUGACCCUGAUUGGGCACUACAGGAGGGCGGGCGCCCUGGGCCAGGCCCCGUUGGGCCAGGCCCCGUUCUGCCUCCGCUUCGUUCCCAUGGCUUCUGGAGUCUUCUAGAUGAUAGAAAAUUGCCGCACUCAUUAAUAUCUCUAUGUAAACCCAACGUGUGGGCCUUUCCUCCGUAUUUCCUGAUAACCCCCUGCAGAAAUAGACAAACACCAAAACUCAUGGAAUUCUAUCAGAUAAAAUCCUAAGUCUGGGUGUUGGUUGCAUUUGAAUCCUUUUCCAUGAUUAGUUGACGGUUAAAUGUGAGCAUUAAGGAUCGUCAACAAAUAUCUGAAUAGAAAAACCACUCUAAAGUUGUUUCUAGGAAAUCUUUGUAGAAAAGUUUGGAGAAAUCAGUAAUUGAUAAAUCAAUGAUUAUUACCAAUGCUGCUUCACCAAAAGACAUACAUCGGCAAAAUUUCUGACUUUUUGGUCGAUUUUCCUCCUGUUCUUCUGAAUAUUCCAAAGAAGGGAAGGACAAGUUGAUUAGCUCUGGAGCCACUAACUUGUGCAGAUCUAAAUUGAGCCAUAACUGCAACAACCACCUAAUAGGUACCGAUUGUUGACGGUCCUUAAGUAUCAAAUGUAAUUAUCAAAUAAACAAAGAAAAGGAUCCAAAUGAAAUCAACAUCCAGACUUAGGGUUUUAUCUGACAGAAUUCCACGAGUUUUGGUGUUUGUCUAUUUCUGUAGGGGGUUAUCAGGAAAUACGGAAGAAAGGCCCACAUGUCGGGUUUACAUAGAGAUAUUAACGAGCCGCCCAAUUAUCUUACAUCUAGAAGACUCCAGAAGCCACGGGAACGAAGCGGAGGCAGAACGGAGCCUGGCCCAGGGCGCUCGCCCUAGGGACCAGGGCGCCCGCCCCCUGCUGGAGUCCAAUCAGGACUCUCUUUCGGGAUUACGCUCCACCGACCUAAAGGAUCAAGGAUAACCGUUCAAUCAAUGUCGGUUUGAUCCGACGGCCCAUAUUCACUUGGAAGGACUAUAAAACCAGACCCCCUGGCCCCUGGAGGAGGAGAGCUCUCAACCCUAAUUCAUUAUUCAUCAAGGGAGAAGAAGCCUCUGAUCAAGCCUAGAGCCACCACAUCAAUUAGACAUCUAGAUUAGCAUAGCUACACAGGAUUAGAACUAGAAGGAGUCAAUCUUCGAUUGGUUUUCGGAUCUGUCAAGAGGAUUCUUGGUAAUUCUCUAUUGUUCUUCAAUUGUUCAUCUUUGUUCUUCAAUAUUAUGAAUAUGACUUUGUUCUACUUCAAUAUAUUGAUUAUGACUUUGCUCUACUUGUUUAUAUUCGCAAUUAUAUUGUUCUUAGUUUAUCAUAGAUAUAUACUUGGCUUAGUUAGAUUGGAAUUAUAUACAUGUUUAGGAUCAUAUAGCGUUUAUCCAUCGGAUCCAUGGGUAAAAGAUAGAUAUUGUGUAGGCGUGGUGCUUAUACCGUAUUUAUCUGCGAUUGUACCCUAUAUGCCAGAUCGCGGGGUAGUUCGUGAUAGUGACAGCUUCAUUGAUUCUUAUAUAGUCCCCCUCUCGUGUAUUGGGCUGGCAGAGCAACAUUAUUACAGGGGAGUGAUUGCUAUGUUUCUCAUUUACCUUGAUAAUAUCACUAUGUAUGGGCGUAAUCUUGUCUCACAAUGAUUGCUAAGUAUAAUUGCACUAACUAUGAUAUGCUAGACUGUACAGUUAAGAAUAACUUAGGAAAUAUUCUUGUAGUUCGUCCUAAUUCCAUGCUAAUGACUUGCUAGAAUAUCUAAUUGAGGUGCUUAUCAUAUUUAUAUGUGGCUAAGUUAUGCUGAUCAGAUUAAUUAUCUUUGUCACUAUUCAUUACUUCAUAUAUCCUUUAUGUGUCACUUAUCCCUGUAUGAAAGAGUUAGAUAAAUAUUCUUAAUUAUACAUGCAAUGAUAGAUACUCAAUUCUAUAUUCCAUUCUAUAAUCAACAUUGAUGGUUACUAAUCCCUUCCCAGUGGUAAAAAUAUAAAUAACGAUACCUGGAAUACUUCUCGGUUAAAAUGCUACAUCGGUAUUAAUCUGUGCGCUUGCAGAUCCCAUUUGUUAUUUAUUUAGAUGAGCAAUUGCAUAUUUUAAUACCGCGUCUCUCAUGUCAUGCUGGGGAUGACAACUUGGCUUAAGUGGUAUGAGGGAUAGGUUCGGCAUUUUUGGCACCGUUAUCAGAAUUAGAAAACUAAGUCUACUUUUGCUAAUGAUGUUAAGAAUACCCAACAAGCAUUUUUGGCACCGUUGCCGGGGAAGGUUGAUUACUAAUCAGGAAUGGAUAUAGAAUUUUGAGUCAUCAUUCGCAUCACUAAUAUGAUUGAGCUUAUCAAUUCUCUCAUACAGUUUUACCCCGAUAUUUUUCUAUUUUAUCUUAUGCAGGCUAAUGUAUGAAUAGAAGACAUCUUCCAGGAAAUUUUGUUGACAAUCCUGAAGUGUUAUUCAGAAAAACAAGAGCUAAGCUCAAGGAGAGAUCAUCAACACUUCAGCAAGAAGCUUCAUCCAAUCAAGAAGAUCACCAGAACUUGUCUUCAGAAUUUGAAGCCAUUGCAAACAAAUUGAUCCGUGAGUUCUCAGCUCCCACUACGGACAACAUCCGCACUAGACCUGCUGCAGAGAUCGAUGGCAACUUUGAGCUCAAGCUUGGACUUAUCAACAUGCUGCAAUCCAACCAGUUCUAUUGGAAGGCACACGAAGAUGCUAGUGCUCAUCUCCAACACUUUCUAGAAAUUUGCAGCACAUUCACCAUAUCAGGAGUCCCCGGAGAUGCUAUACUACUUUGCCUCUUCCUAUUCUCACUGUUAGGGAGAGUGAAGCAGUGGUUUUACGCUACAAAGGAGAAGAAUACUACGUGGGCACUCUGCUCCACGAACUUUCCGUGUGAAGAUUACAAGUUUUCAGCAACAACAUGACGAAUCCGUUCCAGAAGCAUGGGAGCACUUCCAAGACUAGAUCCUAGAAUGUCCCCAUCAUGGAAUGGAGAGUUGGCUACUGAUGCAGACGUUUUAUCAUGGGCUCGGCAACAGUGCCCGAGAAACCAUGGAUGCUGCAGCUGGAGGAGCAUUCUUAUCACUCACCAUACCACAAGCCACAGCUCUUGUAGAGAAGAUGGCGUCCAACCAAGGCUGGAAUGAAGAGAGGACCCAGACACGCAAGAAAGGUGGAGGUAUGCAUCAGCUCAAGGAGGUAGACAUGUUGUCUGCUAAGCUAGACCUGCUCAUGAAGAAGCUUGAUGAUAGAGCUGGAGAUAAGAAAGAAGUUAUGCACAUCUACGACUCUCACAUGACUUAUGAGGAGUGUGGAGAUACUGGACACUCAGGCAAUCACUGCCCUGAGAUGCUUGAGGAUGUGAACUACAUCAACAACAACAACUACUACUACUACAACCGUCCUCAACAAAAUUAAGGUUGGAAUCAACAAAGGCCUAACUACUCAGGUAAUUAUCAAGGUAACAAUUCUUACAACAAUAAUAAUAAUUUUCCACCUCUAAGAAAGUUAGUGUCAAUCAAGGAAAGCUAAUGGAUAACCUAUCUAAGAAAUUGGCAUCUAAUGAUAAAAUGCUAGAAAAUAUAAAUAAUAGAAUGGAUAAUUUCUCUGCUGCCAUCAAGAAUCAAAUUAGCUUUAAUAAAAUGAUUGAAUCUCAGUUAAAUCAAAUAGCUGCUGCUGUUCCUGCUACUAACCCCGGUAUACCAUCACAACCGGAAGGAUUAGAAUCUGCAAAUCUUGUAGACAUAUUUGAUGCAGGUAACUACUGGAGUAACCCUAUCACUGAAGUUAAUACUAACCAUCUGCCAGUCAAGAGAGGCGAUCCAGGACGCCCCGUCAUCCCGAACUCCAUCGGCAUGGUGGACUUCCCAGCAGCACGGCUGCAAUAUCAUGUAGUUUAUCAGAUGAUCAAAGGUUUGCUAAUAGCUGAGAGAUAGGGAAUAUUUAUACUUUUUUUGAGGAAAUCGGCACGGGAGACCCCUACCUAUAUUUUUUUGUUUUUCUAUUAAAUGAAAGAAUGAGAGCUGUACAAAUUACAGGGCCUCCAGGGCCAAAAGAGAAAUAAAGCAGAAAACAAAAAAGGAGAAACAGAAUUACAUGAGGUUAUCUCUCUAGAGUCUAAGUAGGAGGCUUUUCUCUUCUUUAGCUUUGGUGCAAACCAAGCCAAUUUCCUCUUUGAACUGAAGAUUCUAGGUGGCGACAAUGGGUUGCCCAUUAUCGAAGAUGGUAACAUUUAUGAUUCUCCAAAUUAUCCAGCAUGGAGUUAUGAGGAUUUCUCUGAAAAUGGAACUUCCAAACUCCCUUUUGGCAGUGAUUAUCAUAUCUAGCGGUGGCAGAGAGAGUUCCCAGUGUAUGGCUAUGCUGUCCCAACAUUCCUUGCUAAACGGACACUAGAAAAAAAGAUGAUAACUUGUUUCUUCAAGAUUAGUGUUGCAGAGGGCACAGGUAUAAUCAUCAAGAUGCAUAUGCUUCCUUCUUAACAUGUGCUUGGUAUUCAGUCUGUCUCUUAGUAAGAGCCAAAAGAAAAACUUAUGGUUCCCAGGUUGGUGGAUUUCUAGACCCAAGAGUAGAGAGGUGAGGACUCGGCUUGACCUAUUAGAAUUUUGUAGGCCUUUCUACUGCUGUAUUUUGUAUUUCCCCAAACAUAUGUCCAUUGAUCUUCAAUGGUGACAUCCCAGGUCAUUUGGAGCAAGUUAUUCCAAAUCUCACUUAGUUGCUGGUUUGCUUGCACCGAUAAUGGCAGGGUGAAUAUUCUACUCUCAUCUUGAUCAAUAAAAUAUCUCAGAGAACAUUUGGGUUUUUUUGUGAAUGAGAACAAUUGUGGAUAGGUUUCAUCCAGUCUUGGAGUUGUCCAUUUGCCUGACCAGAAAGCAACAGAAUCUCCUUUAUUUGGCGAGCAGGUUGACAUGCUCUCCAUUUUGUCAAAGAGCUUGAUCACAUCUUUCCACCAAAAUAAUCCAGUUGGGCUUCUGUGUUGGGGAGGGGUUUGAUUACUGAGGUAGAUCUUUGAGCAUGUUAGGGUGACCCAGGGAAUAUCAGCCUUGUUGUAGAAUUUAUCCAAAAAUUUUAGUAGAAGGGCAUGAUUUUGUUGCUCAAUGUCAAGGAUGCCCACACCACCUUGCUUCUUUGGUUUGCAAGCAACUUCCCAGGCUACCAGGCAAGUACCUUUCUUAUUUAUAUCUCCUUUGCUCUAGAGGCAAUGCUUCCUAUAAAUAUCGAUUUGCUUGAUGACUUGGGGUGGGAUUCUUAAACUGCACAUGUAGAAGGUAGGCAGAGCAGAAAAGACAGAGUUUACCAGGAUAAGUCUACCAUUGUAGGACAGUAGCCUGCUGAUACUUGUGAGUCUUCUUUCUAUUUUGGAAAGAAGGGGGGUGAACUCCUGGAUGUUGGGCUUAGUGAGGCUCAGAGGUAGACCCAGGUAGGUGAAGGGCAUGCUGCCCACUUUGCAGCCAAAGGUAUUGGCAAGAUGUGUGGCUCUGGAUAUAUUCAUAUUGAUGGGAAUGAGGAAGGACUUAUUGAAAUCUAUAUGGAGUCCAGUACUAUCAGAGAAACUUCUUAGUAGGCAUUUCAGAUUAAAAGUGAUCUUGUAUCUCCUGGUAAGUUUAGCAGCGUGUCAUCAACAUAUUGAACAAUUGGGAAGUCUCCUCCAAAGUUUUCACUUACUGGGUGCUUCAGGGUGCCAUUCUACCAAGCUUUGUUUAUUAUUGUCUACAGUAGAUCACCAGCGAGGACAAAAAGAAGAGGGGAUAGGGGGUCACCUUGUCUAACACCCCUUUUGUAAUCAAAACUUUUGCCAAGUAUGCCAUUCAGUAGUAUGGAGGAGGUGCCACUGCUCAGUAUAUUGUGGAUCCAGUUUAUCGAUUUUGUAGGGAAGCCCUUAUAUUUGAGGAUUUCAAUGAUGGAUGGAUGCUCAAUCUUAUCGAAGGCCUUUUCAAAGUCGAUUUUUAGGAUGAUGAUCUCUUUUUUAGAUUUGUGACAGAUGUGCAAGAAUUGGAAGGCCCAGGCGAGGCAAUCCUGGAUAGUUCUUCCCUUGAUAAAACCAUACUGAUUUGGGUGUAUGAGAUCAAUGAUGACAUUUUGUAAUCUGAUUGACAGGAUCUUAGUGAUGCACUUGAGGGAGUAGUUCAGGAGUGAUAUGGGUCUGUAGUCAUCAACUGAUUCUGGGUUCUCCUUUUUGGGUAUGAGUGUUAUUAUUGAGGAAUUGAUGCUUCUCAAGUCGAUGUUGUUGUUGGAGAACUGCAUGAGCAAUUUGACAAAGUCAUUUUGUAUAAUAUUCCAACAUCUCUUGAUGAACAGGCCAUUGAAUCCAUCUGGGCCGGGUGCAUGGCUGUUGGGGAGGUUUUUGAUUACCCCCUCUAUUUCUUGUUGGCUGAAAUCCGUAGCCAAAUGAUCCAAAUCGUGCUGGUCUAGAAGUGAGGUAAGGUCAUAUGCCAUGUUGCUAAAUUCACUUACACCUAGUCUUUGUUUGAAAGAGGUCAGGAGGAGUUGGGCCUUUUGCUCAUGAUCAUUGAUGCUGGUACCAUCAGGCAAAGUGAGUGAUACUAUGAAAAUUUUCUUAUGAUUGAUGGUUGCCAUGGUGUGAAAUAAGGGUUUUUUUCAUCUCCCAACUUCACCCACCGCACCGUGUUUCUUUGCUUCCAAUAUAUUCUUCUAGUUUCAAGUAGAAACACCAGAUGGGUUUUCACUAGUUUUCUGAAUUUCAUCUCAAGACCAGAGAGGGCUCUUUGUUCGUCCAAGCCAUCCAUCAAAAGGAGUACCCAAUUGCUAUUAUAGAUCAGUUUGUUUAACUUUGAAAGAUUCUUGUUCUAGGACUUUAGUCCAGCUCUGACCUGCUUGAGUUUAGCAUUUAAGUUUCUGGCAGCAUUUGCAUAAUAGGGAGAAUUGUUCCAAUGUAGCUCAACUGUUUCAGUAAAGCCAGGGUGUUGGACCCAAAGAUUUUCGAAUCUGAACAUAUUAGAUCUUGGUAUGCUGCUUCCAAUGUGAAUAACAUAUGGUAUAUGAUCAGAUAUAGGCUUGGAAGGGGGCUGGACAUAAGUGGCAGGGAAAGAGAGUGCCUAGCUAGAUGAGGUGAAGACCCAAUCCAGUUUAAUCAUCAGGGGGUCACUCUGCAUAUUGCUCCAGGUGUAGCUUCUGCAACUAAAAGGGAUAUCUAUUAGAUCUAGACCAGAGAUUAGUUCAUUGAACAUAUUCAUUUCUGAAAGAUCACCUCCUACUUUAUUCCUAUUAUCAGGAUAUCUGUACAGGUUAAAGUCUCCAGCCAGAAUCCAAUCAUCAUAAUCCGAAGUGUCUAGGUUCAUAAACUAGGUGACGAAUGCAAAUUUCUCUAGAGAGUUGGAGGGGCCAUAGAUAUUCGAGACAUGAAAAGUCUUGUUAUGUUGCCUGCAAAGCAUUUUCACAGUGACAACAUAUGAGUUGCAUUGUACAAUAGAGCCAUCAAAGAGGCUACCAUUCCAAAUGGUGAUUAUCCCUCCUGAAGCGCCAAUGGAUGGAGCAUAGGCAAACUGAUCCAAAUUUCUCGUGCAGAAUUUUUUGAUGUAAAAGCUAUCAAAAAACUCUCUAUUGGUUUCCUAUAGGCAGAUGAUUUGAGAUGCACUCUCCUCAAUUUUGUUUCUAAUUGCAUCCCACUUUUCCUUAGAGUUGAUACCCUAGACGUUCCAGACUAAUAUCUUGGUAUUUCUAUUAUUACUCAUUGAAUAAUAGGGGGAUAGACUUCUUUGGUUUGAUCAUACACAUGUCAAACUCAAGGUUAUACCAGACAGUAAACCCAUAUAUAUGUUCAGUUAUUGGGUACAGAGCAGUGGUUUGGGAGCUUAGGAAGGAGAAUGUGCAACAGACAUAACUGUUCAGAUCAGACAACGCGUUGAUAGAGAAAAGAGACAAGCAUAGACAUAAAUAUAUAACUUGAUAAAAGCCUUCCACAUUCCAUAGAGCGAGGCAGAUCCAAGAGGUGUAGGCACCAGAUACAGCAUUGUACUUUCUUAUUUAUCCCGUACGUAGACUGGAGAUGCGAACUAAGGGGAAAGAUAAAAACAGCAAAAGAAAACAGGGAUACUGUCAUCCAGACAAGUCUCCUUGGGCUAUUCAAAAGUUUCCUAUUCAUCCAAGAUGUCCUUCUGGAUGAGGGCAGCCGAGACACUCUCAGGUUGUAUAUGCAGGAACCCUUCUGCGACACCUCUCAAGAUAGCGAGGGGGAGGUGUGGUGCAGGGCCAUCUCCAAGCUCGCUAGGUGGGGCUGUCUCCAAUGGCAUGACGUCGAGGACUUCUACUACAGUUUCUCCACCUGGCUUGUUCCCUUUGCUCUUGUCUGUGGCUUUCUUGGCACUUUCCUCAUUCUUGUAUCCUUGAGUCUUGCUAGAGAUUCUGCUGCUACGCUUGAGAAAGCUAUCAUCCAGCUUCUAUUUCAGUUUGCCUGACUUCUUUUUCUUCUUAUUGAUAGGUGUCAUGAAGAUAGCAGGGGGGUCAUCCAGUAUCUGAAUUUCCUCCUCAAUGUCAUCCGCUGGUGGAUCUUCGAAGGGUGCCUCCUCCAUCCCAGCUGCAGCCUCCUCUAUCCCGACUUCUUUCUCUAUCUCUUCAACCUCCAUUUCAUUCUCCUCAGAGUCCAUGUAGUCGAUAGAUAUUUUCUCUAGAGCAUUAUCUCGCAACUGAGGAUACAUACGAAAGGCAAGAUGUAUUAGGAGAUUUUUGUCAUUGAAGUAGCAUGGGAUUUGAGUAUCAUGAUCAAUGAAGAGGGAAUCGAGAUUUCUAAGGAAAAAAUAGGAGAGGGACGGGGAGGGAUGCUCUGUGUUACCUGGUUGAGCAGAGAGGGAACAAAGGCCACUAGAGGGUCCUCGCGGCUGGUGCUGCCAACAAUGACUGACUUGAGCUUUGGCAUAUUUAGGGUUUCAGUGCCUUGUGGGGGAUUAGCUUGGGGUGUCGGUGCUGUAAUCUGGGCCAGGUCUUGUGGUGCACUUUGUUGUGGCCAGCGACUAUGUCCAUCCACGUCGAGAUUCAUAGCAUUCCCUGAACCAGGUGCGGUUGGUGAGGAACCAGAGCUUGCCGUCAGGUCCAGUCCAAGCCAGUGCGGUGGCGAGGGAGGUAUUGGGUGCAGUGGACCAGUAGUCACGUAACCUUCUUCAUCUUGAGGGGCAGUGACGACGUUGUUUUUUAGAACAUAGCAUGGUGAGGUCCAGGACUUCCCUUUCUGUGGUAGCCCUGCAUUGAUCUUGAUCGAUUCUAGAAUCUUGGCAUUGUCAUUGAGGUAGACCUUGGCAACCAAGCAGGCUAGGUUGCUGGUUUCAUGCCAGUAGGCGAGGAUCCCAAAUCUAGAGACUACUCUGGCUAUGAUGGAGGUGCACUUGAGAUCUUUAGGAAAGCCAACCAGCACCACCCAGGCUUCAUGAUCAAGAUUGAAGGUGCGCGCAUUAUUUGCUUCAUCAUGCUUGACCAAAGUCAUGUCAUACGAGCCAAACUUGAAGGUAGGACCCAAAAAUCUCUCCCUUUCUAAAGCAGUGUUAAACUGAACAUAAGCAUCACCAAGCGGGCAGGGUUGUACCUCAGCAACAAGCACCUGAUGGAUGUCAAGAAAGAAGGAGCGGAGGGCAGACUCGAGUUCUCCGAAGUCCAUCUUGUGGACAGGGGGCUGUAGCUUGACUAUGGCGAGGUCUUCAUUGUGGUGGGAGAAGCAGCCUGUCAUGAAGACUUCUUGGCGGAAGGGGGGUGCUGCGGGCGCUCCACGAGGGUGAAGCCAGGCGAGACGUGGGGACAAGGAUCCAUGCUCCAGUUCGCCAUUGGGGGGAGGCAGCAAGAUGUAGGGGCUGAUGGUGGAACAGGUGGAGGUGGAGCGGAGUCACCGAGAGUGCCCAGUUCUAUAUUUAGGGGAGGCGACCCUUGAACUUCUAAACGGGAAAUCGCCCUGUAACGCGCACCUGCCUGGAUUUGGAGAGACAUCAGAAGUAUAGAUGGCUGUAAUUGAAGCACAAAUUGCAUCUUACCAAACUUCUGUAGACAUUCCUUGAAUGGCCGAGGCCCAAACACUUGCUACACUAUAGAGAAUUGGGAUGUCGGGCUGAAGAGGAGGAGGGAGCCGACCCAUUCACUAGGUGUUCAUCCUGAGCAGAUUGCGACGGUAUUGGCGCCGAGGAUGGACCCUUUCCAUUAGUAGCCGAGGGUUCAGGCGGGGGAACAAAGCAAUUUGAAUUGAUCGGAGGGGCAGGUAGUUUUGGUCUCCAACACUGAACAUGUUUGUCAGAUCGGCCUCUCGUUUUAGGCCAAGCAGGGGACAGAUCAAAGAAAGAUUCAAAGUAAUUUUUUGGAUAAAGCAAUCGAGUAAACACUGAUUUUCUUUGAUGGGGGACCUCUAGGACCGAAGGAGAUUUGACAAUUUCAGCAUAGCUCUUUCUGGACUUAUGGUGAACCAGAGUCCAUUCUGCCUCUUGCUCCUGGCACCAGAGAUCAAACUCCUUGUGCCAAUUCGGGCCACCUCCACUCCAGAGGUGGAAGAAGAUAGAAAACAAUGUGCAAGAAAUGCCUUUGAGUUUAUGAAUUAAAAAACCAACCUCCCAAGAUGUUGAAAUUCUUGGCAUCACCACCAAGACAGGCUUGUAGGAUGAUCCCAACUGAAUCUACAUUGAGUUUGAUUCGGGAACGACCGAAACUAGCAACCAGGAGGAACGCCUUGGGAGAGGGGAGGGAGCAAGGACUCACUGAGCAUUUGAAAUGUUGAUGGACGAGACCGGCAAAGUCGAUCCCCUGGGCAAAAUCCAGAUCCAAGAGACCCGCCAUGCUGCCAAUAGGAGAUCAGAGACGACAUCACCGGAGGGGAAGAGGUGGAUCACAGGUGGCAGUGGAGAUGGAGGAGGUGGUCGCCGGGGUGCGGGCUUCGUUGUUGCGCGUCACCAUGGCUCCUCCGGUAGGCAAUUGAGAAUACAAAAGUAUAUUUUAGGGGAAUACAAAAGUGAUAGGCUUGAAUAUUUAUACUAGGAACAACCCUCCUAGACAUGUAUGAAAAUGAAAUAGAGUUUAUGAGGGAAGGCAAUGUGAAAGGUCCCUCGGAAUGGAUUCCCGAACUAGCUUUGCGUGACUGUUGGCCUCCAAAGCAGUUUCCAAUAAACUGACCAUAACUUCUUAUUGGGAAGUCUAAAUGAUGAACCGUUUCUUGGGUGUGAAACUAGACUCAAAGGGCUUUCCAUAAAUGUAUGCCAUCCAGCAUGAAACAUUGUAGAUUGGUAAAGUUUUACUCGGCAAUUUGUACAAACAUUCUGUCAUGAUAGACUGUUGACCUUCUGAGCAGUCUGUACUAAUUCUGGUCUGCAGGCAAUAUAGGGUAUCCAAACUGGUCACCCGUAGUUUCAUUGGAAAGUAGACUUGACAAGCUUUCCAACAAGUCCUCAUGGGCCUUCAUAGCUUUUGUAAGUAAAAAGUUACGAAGAUUUCUUUGCACUGGUCCGUUCUUGACUCCACUGGUCCGUUUUUGACUCUUCUGGUCUGUUUUGCUAGUUUGUCUUCUAGGACUUGCUCUAGUCCAUUCUUUAGGGUAUGAUUCAUCCUUCUCUUCUUCUAUAUACCUGAGUACAAUCAAGGUACAAUACUUAGGUAGUUUAUAAUUCUUAUUAAUAUUAAAAUGAAUCUCACAAAGUAGCGUGUGGACCUCUUGUUGUAGCUUCUUUGCACGACUACGUGUAAUCAGUCCAUCGAUGACUUGGGCUGGUGUUGGUGUAGGUUAAACUUGAGUGGAUGUAGCUUGACUAGGAGUUUGUGACAUCUGCUUGCUGGCGUGGUCAUAUCACCACCAGGGGCCUGUGAUUGCUGAGACAGUUUCAUUCUGCAUUAGAUGUUGAGAAACUUUGUUCAGCAAAUUGUACAAAGCUCCAAGAAGGAUCUUGCCAAGAGGGAUUUUAGAGUUGCUUGCUAUCUUUUUUGCCAAGGUCAGAUAAUUGGAAGUUGGACCACAGGCUUGACCAUAGAAGACAUAUCUAUCCAACCACAUGUUUAGGAAGGUUGUGUGCUCUUUAUCAGAUACAGUUCUACCAUCAGUUUUGUGAUUAAUAAUGUAUUGGGACCAACCUCCAGUUUUGGUGCUGUCGAGCUUAGUUGUAGGUGAUACCAAUAGGCGAAAGAGUUGAGGUGUCCUGCAAUAUUAAGACCUGUCAACAUGUGGACAUCAGCUAAUGUUGGAGACAUUGGGCCUUGCCUGAAGAGGAAGGCAUUAUAGCUAUUGGACCAGAAGAAACAAGCAGCCUUGAGCAUAGGUUCAUUUUUCUUGAUAUUAGAGAGGGACAAAGAAAUACACUGGUCCAAAUUUCUAGUUGUCCAAUCUGGCCUCUUCUUAUCUGCUACUUUGAUUAGCCAAUUCCUCCAACCUUGGAUGAUUGAAGGCCAGUUUCUUAAAGAAGUCCUUUUAUCCCAAAGGCCUGGAUGCAUACUGGACUCCUUGAAAGGAACCUUGUUAGUCUCAGUGACAAUGACCCUGCUAGGAUCUAGAUCGCCCAUCAGGCCUAGGAAAAUCUUGUGCACAUUAUCUUCAAGCGGAAUGAAGAUUUGGUUUUGGAGAUCCUAGAGAUCAGAAAAUAAAAUUAAGGAAAAGAAUAACAGGGUAGGAGAAUUCAGAGAAACAAGAGAAGGAAGCAUACCUCUGGGAUGUUGUCGAUAGACGCCAUCAAGGCAAGAGUCGCCGAGUUGAAGGAUUCGGUGUGUUGGGGCUUGAUCGCGCAGAUGCCCUACAGAUUAUAUGGGUUUUGAAUUUUAGACUAAGGAUGUUUGGAGGGAAACCCUAGCUUUUAAGACUGAUGAACAGGAAAACAGAGGAGGAAACAGAGUAAUUAAUAUGUCCAUAUCGGUUUUUGAGUGGUAAUUUUGGAAUAAAACUAGUUUUAUCCCAAAAUUGGAGGGCAUGUGUUAAUCCCAAAUUUUGGUGAGCCAGGAAACUGCCAAGUGGGCCUACUUCGCAGAAGGAGGGACAACCGAAUAGGUGGAUUGACUAAACGAAGGCUAUCUUGUCUCCUUUGUUGUACUCCUUUCUUGCCAUUAUUUGUUCUCUAUCUUAUUUGUGCUUGGACCUUUAGCUCUUCUUAUUAUUUUAUCCCUACAAAUCAUUAGUGGACAACACAUACCCGAAGGAGUAUACAAGUAAUGACAAGGGCAUUGUUGUAACACAAAGCUAAGGGUCACUUCCUAUGAUACAAAAGAAAUUGUUUUAACAUACUUAGCAUAGCAUAUUUAUUAUUCACAAUUACUUAUUUCUAAAGGAUUGAUUUUAUUUUUUCCAUCUUAUGAUUUGACUCUUAAAUAUAGGCAUUGUGAAUCAACUCAAACUCAUAGAAAUAAUGUAAUAGUGAAUUUAGAUAUUGCAAAACAGCGUGUGGAGCAAUGAGGAAGAACUUGGUUGGAUCAUCUAGAGGAGUUGACCUUUUUCCUCAUGUCUCAGCUUCUCAACCUUAGAGGUGAGAGUGCAGAACGUUGCAUGCUUUUCUCUUGUCAAUCUUUUCUUGAUUCUUGAUAAUUAGUGGUUGACAAGAAAAUGCAAUUCCAUGGAGUAAGUGCUUUUAUCAUGGAUCAUGUUUUGUGGCACCCUUCUUUCUACUUGGCUACGUGUGAGUUGUGUCUCACUUCAUCUCCAGUAUGAGUUCAUCUUAGGACUGUCCCAAUUUAUAUUUGAGAUUUUCCUACAGGGGUUAGUCCAACAAAAAUAUUCCAAUAUUUACUAUAGCAUACUAUCAGCUCAAAAAUCAACUUAGACACCAUGUCUAAUUUGAUUCAAGAAGGCAUUUUAACCACGUGUAAUUAAAAGCCUUUGAGAGUAAGAUCACCACUCCUAAACUAGGCACCAUGCUUUAUUUAAGAGAUGUAUGAAACUACUCCAAACCUAAACAUAUACUAUAGCAAACAAUGGAAGCAUGAGAGCAUUAUAGAGAUUUACUCAAUAGUGAUGAUAGAGUAUGAUCGCAGUGAGAAAUAUUAUUAUAUUUUUAGACGUAGAUGAAUUGUAUGCAUGCAAGGAACUAAACAUGAUGUGGAUGAAAAAACUAAAUGAAGUGGAUGCAUGGAUGAUUCAAAGUAAACACGCAGUGGUAAACAGUCAUAUGGUUUAAAGCCCAUGAGUAAGACUAUCUCACCUUGAUCACACUUACCAUGAUGCACAACUAGGAUGAGUGGCGUAGCGUAAAUAUCCGUCACAUGUGAUGGGGGUUGUAUUCUUGUGACGAUGACCUUUUCUCCAAUCUACACAUGGUUAGAAUAAAUAAUAUAUAUGUGUUUAUACACACCUGUGAGAUGGCAGGGCUUUAUUGUUGAUGGAUCAUAAAUGUUUAGACACCCUAGGUUCUUUGAUAUCUCCCAUGUCUUGUUCUUGUAGAACUUCGCCAGGAGACUAAAAUGGUUGAUAUCCUGCUUAUUCCACAACUCAACAAAAUAGGGGUAAUCCUACUAAAGCUAGAGGCAUACUAGAUUAGCAUAUAUCAAGAUCAAUACGAAAUCUUUACGUCAAUUGUUUCCCUGGCAAUGGCGCCAAAAAUUCUUGUUGGUAUUUCUUAUGUAUAGUUAAAAUAUAAAGGAUUCCGCAAGCGCACAGAAAACCAUUGUAGCAUUUUACCGGGAGUAUUCCAGAUAUCAUUAUUUACAUUUUACCACUAGGAAACAAUGGAUAAAGAUAUUGAUAGUUCACCAUCGUGUAUCUACUAACUAAUACACCAACUAGACUAAAGUAGGGGUAAAUAAUAGAUGAUAGGAAUUACGCAUAUAGAGAAUUCUAUGAUAAAAGAGUAGAUAACUAAAGUGAGAGGACAACGAGAUAGUUUAAGGUUCCUAAAUACUUCUCCAUUACUAGAGUUCUAUAAUAACUAAUUCAUGGUAGGUAAAGCAAUCACACAAUAAUACUUCGGGACAUCAGAGCACUUAGCCACAGACAGAUGAGAAGGGGGGCUAGGAUGAUCGGACUACGGUCCUACAACACCAAUCCAAACAUGGUGGAAUACGUCGGCUGUCAGGGCUGUCACCACUUGGAGCUACCACAACUAUCUGUAGAACUGGGUGCAAUCUCAAUUAACCUAUAGUCUAGACACUAUGUCUCUACUACAAAUUACUACUCUAGUCACAAUUACUAACUAGAGCACCCGAUGCGGGCAGAGAUCCUAUGCUAAAGUAUAACAACUAUACUUCAAAUGUAAUGCAUAAAGGUAAAUAGAGAAGAUAAAAUAUAUUAAAGCAUAAGUAUUACAAGAAAAGAUACAAAGAUAUACCAGAACUCUGAUGACUCCUCUGAAGACUUCUCCAGAACCCAGGCGUAGCGCCACUCUCCCUAACUCUCAACUAGAACUAAUCUACUACAUUGAAAAGUUUAGUCUUAAUUCUCUAGAGGUGAGAGGUUAUCCAUUCGAGGGAUGCCUCUACAUUUCCAUAAUUUGGUGCCCUCAGGGAGGGGGUCUGCCUCUUUAUUUAUAACCCAGAAAAGCCUCCCACCUCUUCUAGACAGGCAAUGUGGGACUAAUUCUUCCACCGCUUGCUCUGUUGGGCUAUUAUACACCAACUUAGGCCUUCCAAUCAUUCCUCAUGUGAGCGCACUCAAGGGAGCAGCUUGGAGCACCUCUCUUGGGCCUCUAUCAUGCCAUAUGAGCCUCUUCUCACGUCAUUGACCUUGCUUGGGCGUGGGGCCCAUUAAUGGUAAUUCUCCUUUAUUUGUAAAAUUAAUAGCUUUUCACUCGAGACUCCAAAUAUAGCAAAUGAUAUGUCCGUUUCGAUCGUCUCGACGAGCCCGUCACAAUGGUGUAGUCCAAAUCAUCAUUUGACAUAAUUUUAUUUGAUAGAAAAUUGCAUAUUUCUACAAAACAAGUGAGAACACCAAAACUCGUGGAACUCGUUAGAAUCAAACCCUACAACUAUGCUUUAAGGUUGAUAUCAUGUUAUAUUGAGCAAUAGUUGAUGAUAUAAAAUAGGCAUUAAGGACCGUCAACAGUCUUGAGUAGUUGAAAAGCAGAAUGACCAAGUCAAGCACUAAGUCUCAAGCUCUUUGAUCAACUUUUAUUCUAAAGUUUUUGCAAGUUCUCAAAAUAAAACUUAGAGAUUCCUUUGUAUGAUCCUUUCAAGCCUCUCAUAUGUGGUAUUUCUGGAUUUCUCUCUAAGGCAACAAUGGUGUAUUGCCUUUCUCUCCUCUCAAGAUAUGUGGUAUUUGUGGCAGAGUAGUAUCAUACCUUCCCUCUUCUCUCCCUAUAACUAUUGCUUAUGUGAAGCUAGAGGUAUUUCAAGUAUAUAGCAUACUUACCUUGCAUGUAUUGCCUAAUCAGAACCGAGAUCCUCAGAGGGGAAACCAUACCCUUAGAUCAUGACGUGCAUUUGUGUGAACCUAUAUAUGUGGAAUGGAUAUGUAUGUGGUGGUGGAUAUAUGGUGGAAUAAUGGUGUAACAUAGUGAGGGUGAAAACAAUGGUGGGGGAAUCUAAUGGAAACCUUAACUUACUUUGCUCCUUGAGGGGAUACUUGUCUCUUUUGAACUUUGAAGAUUUAAGAACACUUGGGUAAGAUACUCUUUUUUCUCUUUACUUUUUUAGAACUAGAACCCAAGCUUCUUUUGCUGAUGGAUAUCAAGAGAUAAUAACAAGAACUUGUUGGAGCAAUUUACGGAUUGGCGAUGAAAAUAAUGAUAUGGUUUGAUGAAAUGGAAAAGGGAAAUAUUUUUGGUUGUUCAUUCCCAAGGUAGGAAUAGAACAUUUUUGGUGGAUCUAAAUGGAAAGCUUGUGGUUACGUACUUCUAGGGUAGAAGCAGCAUAUUUGGAUGGAGUGUACGUGAUCUUGAUCUUGGGAGUAUGAUGACCCUCUCGACAAGGGUCUUACACGGGUUGAUCAAACUCAAUACAAUGUAAGUAGCCUAUGAGCUGGUUUUCCCUAGUCUAGGAAACAUAUCUAUGGCUAUGUAGGAAUUCAACACUCAUCAUACAAGAACUCAUCAUUGUUGACACUAGCUAACACCACUUGAAUACUAGGUUGUCAUCCCCAGCAUGAUGCUAGAGUGUACAAAGGUAUUUAUAAAUAUGGAGGCUCUCUAGAAAAUAAUCUAUUCUAUCCGCAAGCGCACAGAUAAAACACCUCAUUGUAGCAUUUCACCAGGUAAGUAUUCCAGGUAUCGUUAUUUAUAAUUUUUCUUAAGAGAACAAGGGGUUAAAUUAAGAUAAGGACUAAUUCUAUCAAGGCAUAGACUAGAGAUAAACUUACAAGAACAUGAUUACUAAUGAGAAACUCGUCACACAGUCACAUACUUUGGCAGGGGGUAAACCAUAAAGAUAAUGAUAAUGAAUUAUAAGUUCAUGGGUGAAUAACACAGCAAUUAGAAAAUAGACUACUCCUCAUAUAUGUAGGUGAUGUCGGAUUAGCUAGAGAAUGGAUUCUAAGUUAUCUACUAUCUACUAAGUCACAAUCUACUCUAGUUAUCUACAAGAUCAUAUAUAGCAUAAAAGACUCUUCAUUCAUGUACAAGGAACAUUGCUAAAGUAAAUCAGAACAUCGUAAGACUUACCCCGCAAUACAAAUUCUGCCUGUCCUAUCGACGGAGGGUGGACUAUAUAAGAAUCAACGAAGCUGUCACUAUCGCGAACUACCACAUGACCCGGCCAAUAGGAUACAUUUGCAGGUAAAUAACAUCUAACACCACGCCCACAUGUGAUCUACCACUUAACUCCCUCAAGUCAAGAGCUAAGCGCUUUGCAAACUUAUACAUAAACUCAUUAUCAAUCAUAACUAUAUCAAAUAUAGAACUAGAGCAAACUAAGAGAAUAAUAAAUAGAGACAUAAUGUAAUUAGAACAAAGUAUUAGAGAAAGAUAUGAAUAAUACCAAUCUUUAUUACCGAAGAUCCGAAUCCAGAGCGUAGUGCUCUACUUCUCUAAUUGCUAUCUAAUCAAUCCUCUAAACUUGAAGGAUUAGGGAGUAGCUAAUUCUAAUUCUCUGUGGGAGAGAGGCUCUAAACCGUAACUUUGAUGGCUACCUCUGAUAAUGAUUUCUCCUCUUCUCUUCUCUCCCCCAGGGGUGGAGAGGCCUUGGUUAUAUAGUCCUUUCAAGUGAAUUUGGGCCGUCGGAUCAAACCGACAUUGAUCGUACGGUUUCCCUUGAUCCUUUAGGUCGGUAGAGCACGAUCCAAGAGUUUGGUUCCGAUUGGCCCCGAGACCUGGGCGGGCGCCCAAGGGGGAGGGCGGGCGCCCUGCCCCCGAGCCCGUCCGGUCUCCUGUUCGUUCCCGUGGCUUCUGGACUCUUCUAGAUUGAGGAAAAUUGCGCGACACGUAAUUAUCUCGUUGUAAACAUGACAUGUGGGACUUCGCUCCAUAUUUUCUGAUAACCCCCUACAGAAAUAGAUAAACACCAAAGCUCAUGGAAUUCUGUCAGAUAAAACCCAAAUUCUAGAUGUUUGGUGCAUAUUGAUCCUUUUCCAUGUUUAGUUGAUAGUUAAUUUUAGUACUUAAAGACCGUCAACAAACUCCCCCAAGCUUACCCUUUGCUCGUCCCUGAGCAAACAGCUAAACUCAGACGGAUCAGGAGUUGCUUCGAUGUUUUCUUUCCUAACAGGCACACAUGCUUUUAUAUAAAAAUUCUUCCAGAUUAGAGUGAAGUGUCAUGGAGCUUAGUACCAGCACCUAAGUCUUAAGUAAUUGAAAGAGAAAAUAAUUAAGUCAAGCACUAUUCCUCCUGUCUAUACUUCACCUUUGUUCUAGAGUUUUUCAUAAGUUUUCAAAAUAAAAACUCAGAGUUCCAAGCAAUGAUUCUCUCAGUCUCUCUAUAUGUGGUAUUUGUGGAUCCUUACCAAAAUGUCACUUACCUAUAGCUAAUGGAAAUUUUAAGUGGAGCUCAUAGGAGUGAAAAACAGCUCAUACAUAUGUUGUCUAAUCGAGCUAUGGAUCCAAAGGAACUCAGCAUAUAAUUAAAUCAAGAUGUGCAUGUGUGGUGGAGUAAAUGAUAGUGAUGGUAAAAAAUGUAUAAGUGAUAAUAAAACUUACUUCUCAUUGCUCCUCAUAUUGCUAUCUCUCCUCUUAUUUGAUCUUUGCUAUCUUUUUCUCUUUUUUUUCAGGUGGGUAGUAGAUACCCCUAAUUCUACUGUCGGACACUUGUCCAUUUUUUCCGCUCAAGUGGGCAUCUUUGUACCCCUAAUUCUACUCCGGACACUUGUCCAUUUUUACCUCUCGUCUCACUCUUUUUUUCUUUCUUUUUCGAGGUUCCGGGCACUUGCCCCUUUUUAUUUCCUCGCAUAUUUUUGCAUAACCCAUGCCUCUUCUGCAUUGAAUCUUUUUAGAGAGAGAGAAUAACAACAUUUGGGACAGUUAGUGAUAAUAUUUUUAGCAAUUUUAAUGAAUGGUGAUGGAUGUAGUAGAUGUGUGCAAGUGAAUAUCUUAAUUUAACCACAUGAAAAGCUCCUAAGGGUCUACACAGCUCGAUCAAACUCAAUGUAAAUGUAAAAUAUGUUAUAGCAGGUAUGGGUGUGGUAGGUAGUUUGUAAUGCUAGGAACGCAUCACGUGAUUUGUAAGUUUUCAAAAUAAAUCUCUAGAACUUAGUGUAGUAGGAACAAGAUAAACAGUAGCUCAAACUUUAUAUCAUGCCUUUCUCUUACCUAGACUUUAGUUUUAGGUUCAUGCUCCCCAUAGAUAGUAAUUUCGGUUUUAGUAAUUCCUGGAAGAACUCUAAUAUAAAAGCUAGGUACUUGAAAGUAAGCAAACAGAGCAACUGUUCAUCAUUUCCAUCAAGAUGAUGCAUCUUUUUGGUCUUUUUAUUUUUUCUAGAGAUUAAACUUAAUAGAAAAAAUAAAGCACACUUAUCUACACACUCUUUUUAUUUUGUUUUCAUGUUUAUAGAAUGCAGUAAAUUAAAGCAAGAAAAUAUUUAUUGGGUUUUCUAAGUUUUUCUCUUUAAGUAAAACACUAAAAUAGAAAAGAAUAAAUAAGAAGAGCAAAUAAAAACUUACUUGAUAAAUAGGGGAGGAACUCCCCCAAGCUGGAUGUGGAUGUCGGUCUUACUCGAUGUUCCAGAAUCGCAUCAUGGUGGUGAUGUUGUCGUUCAUUGUCGUGGUGUCUUGUCUCAGUUCUUGUACUGCAGUGGCGUGGUCGUGGUUCUAUUUUUGUUGCUGUUCUAGGAGUCGUCCAUGUUCUGAUUGCGUAUUCUGGAUGUCGAGGAGAGUGUUGUCGGUACAGGUAAAGAAAGCACCGGCCUCUUGGUAGUAGUCGUUCGUGAAAGCAUAAGAGCCGUCGGAGUAUCGUCCUACAUCGAAUUGGGGCGGAGGUCUAGAUCCUGAAGGUCCAUAUGGAUCAGUGGAGUACCUACCCGUAUGAAAAAGCAGGUUUGUCCACUGAUGAUCUCGGCUCUCCGGCCAUGUCUCCUGUGUUGGCUCUUGUGGUUGCGCAUGUCGAACCCAUGGGUCUCGAAGGACUCGGGGGUUGUAGUCGCAAUAAUGCAGGUGCGCUGCUUCUUUCGGCCCGGGAUCAGCUCCAUACCAGGUGCGUUCUCGAUGGGUGGUCAUCCUUUCAGAUGCCACUCAUUGUGGAGCUCUCUGGUUUACCGGUGUCACUGCAAUCUAAAUCAAAAAACUUU